rnacentral:lncRNA from 1 species
CACCCCACCCUCUGCGCCCGCCUCCAAGGUCUCUCCCUCCCCCUUUCCCGAUUCCUCGUAUCUCUGUGGCCAAAGUGAUCUGGUAGUCCACUCGGGAGCCAGGAGCUCACGCCUUUUUUUUGAGAAAAAACUGUAUUCCCUCUGUAAACUAAUAUAAAAGCGUUUAGAUCACUACUUUAGUAUUCUAAACGCUCUUAUAUUAGUUUACGGAGGGAGUACAUAGCUCGUAGUUUAAAUUUUAAAGGUUUGACUCAAGGCAUGUCCAAAACUCCACUUUUUUAUGAUAUGGGGAGAGUAAUAUGUGAACUGCAUUCUAUUGGAUUCUUUGAUAGUAACCUUGUUUAUAUUAAUAUAAGUACAAUUGCUUCAAAUCAGAAAUGAGAAUCCUCUAAUCUUCCAUAUCGCCGGUUUUGAGAGAUGGGCAGUGCAAUAAUCUACUACUCCGGCGAAUCCAGUGUCUAGGUAUGGUAUUUCCACUAAUCUCAUGUCUAGUGGACCCAAUACAGUUUAUUCAGAAAUUAAGAAGGGCAGACACAAAGUAUUUUGCAGUCACCUUUUUGUUUAUUUCCUACAUACGGUCAUCAAGUUUUUCAGUUGGACCAACAAAAGUUCUGAACUUUCGAAUCCCCAUCACAUCUGCUUCCAAGAUAGUUCCGGAUGCUCACUUGACAAAAGAAUAUCUUACAGUACAAAGGUGUGAAGUUGCCUACGCAUGUUGGCGCACUUGAAAAACUGUUUAAAUCUUACUGAUUAUCAUAUGUUUCAUCAGGUUUCCAUUUAGAUAUAGCAUAAAGUACUCUCCCUUUCCAUCCUUGUAGUAGCCAACCGCGAUCUUCAACAGCAAAGAAUUCCUCGUGAUAAAGUGAGUUCUUCAUGUGUACUAUGUUCUUUAAGAUGGCUUGAUCGACAGGAAGCUGCUGGAACCCAGCCUUGAGGCACCUUGCUUGCCACUGCCUGUAACUUUCGGGCCUCUCAGUUCUGUCUGCGCCCUCACAUGCUAUGAUGUUAAGUGCAUCCAUCCCAAAUAGGAUCCUCUCAAUCAUCUUUCUUGCCUUAUUAUCCCGUGGAACAUUUGCAUCAAGCAUAUCAAACAUUGGAGAGUAAUGGAGCAUAACCUCUUUGAAUCGUUGUAUGAAGAAGGGAGAACUGUGUAACCCAUUCAUUGUGCCAGAAAUAAAAAUCUUUGGGUUCAUCCUCCUAAUAGUUUUCAUUACCUCAUCCCUUGCGCUAUUUAUUCCUGCGGUUUCAUGACCAAGAUUCUUCAUCCGGAAUAUGCAGUUGAUUAUGAGAACUUCAUCCUCGUCAAUGUUAAGAUCCUCAAUUUUAAUGGUGUCCCAUCUUGAAGCGGCAAUGCCCUGAUACUGAAAAGGUACCAUGAACAUGUUUGCAUAAUCAGCCAACCGCUUCCCUGUCUCCUCGAUCAUUUCGCAGGGGCGGAAACCAGGCUGACAAACGUCUAUACCUGUGAUCUGAAGCUUAGGGGCUCCCUCUUCUUGCUGUGCAAACCUCUGAAUCAUUAAUGGCCACUGAAAGCCGAAGCCGAUGCCGAAAUCAAGAAUGUGCACCCUUGGUUGCCCUUUUGAGACAUCAAGAAUAGUUCUAGGCCCAGCUGCGCAUCAGAGGUAUAAAAAGGUGUUUAUUAGGGAUGCUUGCCUUGGUUUCAACAUUAUUAAGGUUCCUAAUUGAAUUGUUAAAAAAAUCCAAGGUAAUAAAAAAAGAUGUACUCUUCGGAGAAAUUAUUCUUUCUUUGACACUUGGUAUUGAUAUACUCCCUCCGUCCCAUAAUAUAAGAGCGUAUACAAUAGUCUUGGUUGAAUUUUUUAGGAUAGUUUGUUGUACUUUAUCUUAUUAAAAUAAUGAGAUUGUUUUUCAUGAUUAUCUGAAUUCAGAAUCGAAUUGUCGGUGCCUAGCUAGUCUCUUUUUUUUUGGUGAAAGGGUGCCUAGCUAGUCUGACGAGAUAUGCACUUAUGUUCUGCCGUAUCUGAAGUAUUUUACCAAGGCUUGAGUGACACAGUUGUACCAAAUGUUUAAGGAGUGUAAAUGCCUUUGAAUUUUUGUUAUCAGGUCAUGAAAGUCACGUCCAAAUUAAAUUUAUACUACUCCCUUCAUUUUUUCAUACAAGGCCACUUUGUUUUUUUUGUCAAACAUUGACUUAUAAUUUUUGUCAGCAAAAUUCUCUAUAACACUAAGCUCCCUAAUUUUAAAGGCUCGCAAUCAAUUGAGGUCUCCAAUUGUAAUUGGUCACUCGAUUUUGACUGGGUCAACAAUUUCUCAAAGCUCUCUCAUUCAAUUCUUUUAUAUUACACAUACAAUAUGCUUCCUAAUUUUUAAGGCCUCACACUUAAUUGAGGUCUUCAAUUUAAAAUUGAGUCACUCAAUUUUGACUUGGUCAACAAUUUCUCAAGGAGCUCUUCCAUUCAAUUAUCAUAAGUCACUAUUGCUCCUAAUUUUGAAGCUCUUCAAUUCAAUUGAGGUAUUCAAUUAUGGUUUUGGUUUGUGAUUUUGAUCGGGCUAAUCAUUUUUAAAUCAAUCAGCAACAAUCGGCCUAUAAAACAUAUCAAUCCCGUGCACCCUCCCACCACCUAGAAAAAGACGCCAAUAAAUUACCGACGUAGAAACAUAGUACAUGCAACUAUCGAAGCAGAAAAUUCCUCAUAUAAAUAUGGGUUUCUUAGCGAAUAACACGAAAUCACAUCGAGAAAGGCUCACCAAAUCAUCGAAUCUAUAAAAGUAAAAUAAAGCAUACUCCAUCAUCUCCCCGCCCCGCCAAACUAAAUAUUUCAUGAGUUCCAAAAUAUAAGGUGAUUAGUUUUUUGGAAAGCCAAAUUCCUUUAACUUUGACCAAGUUCAGAGCCAAAAAAAGUCAACAUCCACAAUGAUAAACCUAAAAAUAUGGAAAUUCAUUUCAUGAUGAAUCUAAUUAUACCGAUUUGGUAUUAUGGAUUUGUAUAUUUCUCUACAAAUUUGAUCAAACUUAAAAAGAUUUGACCUUAAAAAAAGUAAUACACCUUACAUUUGAAACAUAAAGAGUAAUGUUUUCAAGAAACCCAACAACACCAACGGCGCAACAAAGCGCGUGCAACCCUUCUAGUAUGGCUUAUAUGCCAUCAAAAAAUAUAUCAUAGGAAAGUUCUUUGAAAUGUACAUUGAAUGAUAAACUUUUUGUGGCAUAUAACUCACUUUUAUUGGUAAAAUUAAUGAUCAAAAUUGGACACAAAAAUAUGAAGUGGCCUUGUAUAUAAUGAAGGGAGUACUAAAAGAAUGUCCCUUGAACUUAUGGACAUUUUCCUGCACAACAUUGAUAGCUGAAUGUCCCUUGAUCAUUGAGCCGGUGUGUCCUUUGCCCUCACCUUCUCUACAUCAUCCAAGGAUCCAGUGAGACUCCGAACAAAGAUCUCGUGUGGUGUUUCAAAGAUGUGGCAAAGUUUCUCGAUGAAGGAGGAAUCUUAGCAAUAAUGCUCUUGGCAACAAAUUUAUUGAGCAACAAACACCUAAGGAGAUUGAAUUCCUUUGCCAUCCAUUGUAGCUCAUGCGUGUUCGACCACAAAAUGGUGCUCAACCAUUUCGUAGUCAUUGAACUGCACUAUAGCAUACAACUCACCAUGGACAUUGAUGCAUGAUACGUCUCCAUCGUAUCUACUUUUCCAAACACUUUUGCCCUUGUUUUGGACUCUAACUUGCAUGAUUUGAAUGGAACUAACCCGGACUGACGCUGUUUUCAGCAGACUUUCCAUGGUGUUAUUUAUGUGCAGAAACAAAAGGUCUCGGAAUGACCUGAAACUCCAUGGAACAUCUAUUUGGAAAAUAAGAAAAAUACUGGAAGAAAAAUCCACGUCAGGGGGCGCACACCCUGUCCAUGAGGGUGGGGGCGCGCCUGCCCACCCUGGGCGCGCCCCCUACCUCGUGGGCCCCCUGACGCUCCACCGACCUCAACUCCAACUUCAUAUAUUCACUUUCGGGGAGAAAAAAAUCAGAGAGAAGGAUUCAUCGCGUUUUACGAUACAGAGCCGCCGCCAAGCCCUAAAACCUCUCGGGAGGGCUGAUCUGGAGUCCGUUCGAGGCUCCGGAGAGGGGAAUCCGUCGCCAUCGUCAUCAUCAACCAUCCUCCAUCACCAAUUUCAUGAUGCUCACCGCCGUGCAUGAGUAAUUCCAUCGUAGGCUUGCUGAACGAUGAUGGAUUGGAUGAGAUCUAUCAUGUAAUCGAGUUAGUUUUGUUAGGGUUUGAUCCCUAGUAUCCACUAUGUUCUGAGAUUGAUGUUGCUAUGACUUUGCUAUGCUUAAUGCUUGUCACUAGGGCCCGAGUGCCAUGAUUUCAGAUCUGAACCUAUUAUGUUUUCAUGAAUAUAUGUGAGUUCUUGAUCCUAUCUUGCAAGUCUAUAGUCACCUACUAUGUGUUAUGAUCCGGCAACCCCGAAGUGACAAUAAUCGGGACCACUCCCGGUGAUGACCAUCGUUUGAGGAGUUCAUGUAUUCACUAUGUGCUAAUGCUUUGUUCCGGUACUCUAUUAAAUGGAGGCCUUAAUAUCCCUUAGUUUCCAUUAGGACCCCGCUGCCACGGGAGGGUAGGACAAAAGAUGUCAUGCAAGUUCUUUUCCAUAAGCACGUAUAUAUGACUAUAUUCGGAAUACAUGCCUACAUUACAUUGAUGAAUUGGAGCUAGUUCUGUGUCACCCUAUGUUAUGAUUGUUACAUGAUGAACCGCAUCCGGCAUAAUUCUCCAUCACCGAUCCAAUGCCUACGAGCUUUUCACAUAUUGUUCUUCGCUUAUUUACUUUUCCGUUGCUACUGUUACAAUCACUACAAAACACCAAAAAUAUUACUUUUGCUACCGUUACUUUUGUUACCGUUGCCACUACUAUCAUAUUACUUUGCUACAAAACACUUUGCUGCAGAUACUAAGUUAUCCAGGUGUGGUUGAAUUGACAACUCAACUUCUAAUACUUGAGAAUAUUCUUUGGCUCCCCUUGUGUCGAAUCAAUAAAUUUGGGUUGAAUACUCUACCCUCGAAAACUGUUGCGAUCCCCUAUACUUGUGGGUUAUCAAGACUAUUUUCUGGCGCCGUUGCCGGGGAGCAUAGCUCUAUUCUUUGAGUCACUUGGGAUUUAUAUCUGCUGGUCACUAUGAAGAAGUUGAAAGACGCUAAGACAACAAUUUAUCCCUCAACUACGAGGGGAGGUAAGGAACUGCCAUCUAGCUCUACACUUGAUUCACCUUCUGUUUUGAGUAAGCUUGCGACACCUAAACCUGCUUCUGCUAUUCAUUCUGAUAUGUCGCAUGUUAUUGAUGAUGCCACUUCUGCUAUGCAUGAUACUUAUGAUGAAACUACUUCUAUGCUUGAUACUACUGUGCCACUUGGUGAAAUUCUUGAUGAACAACUUGCUAGGGUCAGAGAGAAUGAAAUUAUUGAUAAUAUUGAUGAAAGUGAUGAUGAAGACUCUCAACCUAAUAAAUAUGAAUUGCCUGUUGUGCCUGAGGGCUAUGUUAUGGAUGAAGAAAUUGCUAAAGAAAUUUUUUGCUUGCAAAGAUAGAUAUGAUGUUAAGAAGUUAUUAGCUAAAUGAAAGCAGCAACCUCUUAAUGCUAGAAUGAAACCUGACCCUGCUUUUGCUACUUCACCUAUCUGUGUUACUGAUAAGGAUUAUGAAUUCUCUGUUGAUCCUGAUAUAAUUACUUUGGUUGAAUUUGAUCCUUUUUAUGGCUAUGAAUCUGAAACUGUUGUGGCACAUCUUACUAAAUUAAAUGAUAUAGCCACCCUGUUCACUAAUGAUGAGAGAACUCGCUACUUUUAUAUCCUUAAAAUAUUUCCGUUCUCAUUAAAGGGUGAUGCUAAGAUAUGGUUCAAUUCUCUUGAUCCUGGUUGUGUGCGUAGUCCCCAGGAUAUGAUUUAUUACUUCUCUCCUAAAUAUUUCCCCGCUCAUAAGAAACAAGCUGCUUUGAGGGAAAUAUAUAAUUUUGUGCAAAUUGAAGAAGAGAGUCUCCCACAAGCUUGGGGGAGGCUUCUCCGAUUACUUAAUGCUUUGCCUGAUCAUCCUCUUAAGAAAAAUGAAAUACUUGAUAUAUUUUAUAAUGGACUAACUGAUGCUUCCAGAGAUUACCUGGAUAGUUGUGCUGGUUCUGUUUUUAGGGAAAGAACACCGGAUGAAGCUGAGAUUCUAUUGAAUAAUAUGUUGACAAAUGAAAAUAAUUGGACACUUCCUGAGCCAGCUCCUGAGCCAACUCCUGAGCCUAUUCCUAAACCAACUCCGAAGAAGAGAGGUGUUCUAUUUCUCAGUCAUGAAGAUAUGCAAGAGGCAAAGAAAUCUAUGAAAGAAAAAGGUAUUAAAGCUGAAGAUGUUAAGAAUUUACCUCCUAUUGAAGAAAUACAUGGUCUUAAUUUACCACCUGUUGAAGAAACAUAUGAUCUUAAUCCAUCACCUAUUGAAGAAGCUCAUGGUCUUGAUAACUCGACACAGGUAGUAAAGGUAAAUUCUCUCUAUAGAUUUGAUGAAGGUGAUAUUCGUCACUAUAAGUCUGCUAGACAAUGUUUGGAUGAGUUUGAUAAUUUUAUUGUCAAACAAGAAAACUUCAAUGAUUAUUUUGGUAGACAAUUGAAAUAUAAUUCCGAUACGCUUGAACACUUGGGUGAUUAUAUGUCUAUAGUUAAAGGUGAAUUUAAACUCAUUACUAAACAUGCUUCUAUGGUUACCACUCAAGUAGAACAAGUACUUAAGGCUCAAAAUGAUUUGCUCAAUGAGUUGAAUAGUAAGAAUAAUGAUUAUGUUGUUAGAGUGGCUACUAGAACUGGUAAAAUGACCCAGGAACCUUUGUAUCCUGAAGGCCAUCCUAAGAGAAUUGAGCAAGAUUCUCAGAGAAAUAAUAUUGAUGCACCUAGUCCUUCUAAAAAGAAGAAAAAGGAAAAUGAUAGGACUUUGCAUGCUUCUAGUGAACCUAUUGCUGAACCACCUGAGAAUCCAAAUGAUAUAUCUAUUUCCAAUGCUGAAACACAAUCUGGUAAUGAACAUGAACCUAAUGAAAAUGUUAAUGAUGAUGUUCAUGAUGAUGCUCAACCUAGCAAUGAUAAUAAUGUAGAAAUUGAACCUGCUGUUGAUCUUGAUAACCCACAAUCAAAGAAUCAACGUUAUGAUAAGAGAGACUUUGUUGCUAGGAAACACGGUAAAGAAAGAGAACCAUGGGUUCAGAAACCCAUGCCUUUUCCUCCUAAACCAUCCAAUAAAAAGGAUGAUGAGGAUUUUGAGCGCUUUGCUGAAAUGAUUAGACCUAUCUUUUUGCGUAUGCGAUUAACUGAUAUGCUCAAAAUGAAUCCUUAUGCUAAGUACAUGAAAGAUAUUGUUACUAAUAAAAGAAAGAUACCGGAAGCUGAAAUUUGCACCAUGCUUGCUAAUUAUACUUUUAAGGGUGGAAUACCAAAGAAACUUGGAGAUCCAGGAGUACCUACUAUACCAUGCUCCAUUAAAAGAAACUAUGUUAAAACUGCUUUAUGUGAUCUUGGAGCCGGUGUUAGUGUUAUGCCUCUCUCUUUAUAUCGUAGACUUGAUUUGAAUAAGUUGACACCUACUAAAAUAUCUUUGCAAAUGGCUGAUAAAUCAACUGCUAUACCUGUCGGUAUUUGUGAGGAUGUGCCUGUUGUGGUUGCAAACGUUACUAUUUUAACGGACUUUCUUAUUCUUGAUAUUCCCGAGGACGAUAGUAUGUCUAUUAUUCUGGGAAGACCCUUUUUGAAUACUGCAGGGGCUGUUAUUGAUUGCAACAAAGGCAAUGUAACUUUUCAUGUUAAUGGUAAUGAGCAUACGGUUUCCGAGGAAACAACGUCAAGUUCAUAGUAUCAACUCUAUUGGAAAAUUUCCAUCGAUUAUUUUUGGAGGUUUUGAAUUUCCUCUUCCUACUGUCAAGAAGAAAUAUGAUAUUCUUAUUAUUGGGGAUGUGCAUAUCCCCAUUGAGGUAACAUAGUGUUAUUCGAAAUUUCUCCGGUUCCAUGUUAUUCGGAAUGAGUUUGUUAACAAGACUUGAUCAACCUUGUUAGUGGAUUCCUUUUGAUGAGCAUGAGAUGGAUGAAACUAGAAAAAACAACCUUCUGUACCCUCCUUCUACUUUCUGUUAUUUAGUUGAAAUAAAGUAAAAAUAGUAUUUUUCUGUCUGUUUUGUGAUUUAUCCGUGCAAUAUAAAAAUACGCCGAAAAUAAAAGUUCUCCAAAUGCCCUGAAAUUAAAAUAUGAUUUUUCUGGAAUAUUUGAGAAUAUCUGGCACUGAGAACACAGCAGGAGGGGCAAGCACCUAGCCACGAGGGUGGAGGGCGCGGUGAUGUCUACUAUGCUACCUUCUUCUUGUAGACGUUGUUGGGCCUCCAAGUGCAGAGGUUUGUAGGACAGUAGCAAAUUUCCCUCAAGUGGAUGACCUAAGGUUUAUCAAUCCGUGGGAGGCGUAGGUUGAAGAUGGUCUCUCUCAAGCAACCCUGCAACCAAAUAACAAAGAGUCUAUUGUGUCCCCAACACACCCAAUAGAAUGGUAAUUUGUAUAGGUGCACUAGUUCGGCGAAGAGAAGGUGAUACAAGUGCAAUAUGGAUGGUAGAUAUAGGUUUUGUAAACUGAAAAUAUAAAAACAGCAAGGUAACAAGUGGUAAAAGUGAGCAUAAACGGUAUUGCAAUGCUAGGAAACAGGGCCUAGGGUUCAUACUUUCACUAGUGCAAGUUCUCUCAACAAUAAUAACAUAAUUGGAUCAUAUAACUAUCCCUCAACAUGCAACAAAGAGUCACUCCAAAGUCACUAAUAGUGGAGAACAAACGAAGAGAUUAUGGUAGGGUACGAAACCACCUCAAAGUUAUUCUUUCCAAUCAAUCCGUUGGGCUAUUCCUAUAAGUGUCACAAACAGCCCUAGAGUUCGUACUAGAAUAACACCUUAAGACACAAAUCAACCAAAACCCUAAUGUCACCUAGAUACUCCAAUGUCACCUCGAGUAUCCGUGGGUAUGAUUAUACGAUAUGCAUCACACAAUCUCAUAUUCAUCUAUUCAACCAACACAAAGUACUUCAAAGAGUGCCCCAAAGUUUCUACCGGAGAAUCAAGACGAAAACGUGUGCCAACCCCUAUGCAUAGGUUCAAGGGCGGAACCCGCAAGUUGAUCACCAAAACAUACAUCAAGUGAAUCACGUGAUAUCCCAUUGUCACCACAGAUACGCACGGCAAGACAUACAUCAAGUGUUCUCAAAUCAUUAAAGACUCAAUCCGAUAAGAUUACUUCAAAGGAAAAACUCAAUCCAUUACAAGAGAGUAGAGGGGGAGAAGCAACAUAAGAUCCAACUAUAAUAGCAAAGCUCGCGAUACAUCAAGAUCGUGCGAAAUCAAGAACACGAGAGAGAGAUCAAACACAUAGCUACUGGUACAUACCCUCAGCCCCGAGGGUGAACUACUCCCUCCUCGUCAUGGAGAGCGCCGGGAUGAUGAAGAUGGCCACCGGUGAGGGAUCCCCCCCUCCGGCAGGGUGCCGGAACAGGGCCCCGAUUGGUUUUUAGUGGCUAGAGAGGCUUGCGGCGGCGGAACUGAUCCCGAUCUAUUCUGUUCCCCGAAGUUUUUAGGGUAUAUUGGUAUAUAUAGGUGAAAGAAGUACGUCAGGGGAGCCACGAGGGGCCCACGAGGGCGGAGGGCACACCCAGGGGGGUGGGCGCGCCCCCCUGCCUCGUGCCUUCCUCGUUGCUUUCUUGACGUGGACUCCAAGUCUCCCGGGUUUCUUUCCUUCCAAAAAUAACUUCUCCAGAAGGUUCCAUUCCGUUUCGACUCCGUUUGAUAUUCCUUUUCUUUGAAACACUGAAACAAGGGAAAAAACAGAAACUGGCAUGGGCUCUGAGUCAAUAAGUUAGUCCCAAAAUAAUAUAAAAGUGCAUAAUAAAGCCCAUAAACAUCCAAAACAGAUAAUAUAAUAGCAUGGAACAAUAAAAAAUUAUAGAUACGUUGGAGGCGUAUCAGCAUCCCCAAGCUUAAUUCCUGCUCGUGCUCGAGUAGGUAAAUGAUAAAAACAGAAUUUUUUAUGUGGAAUGCUACCUAACAAAAUCAUCAAUGUAAUCUUCUUUAUUGUGGCAAGAAUAUUCAGAUCGAUAAGAUUCAAGAUAAAAGUUUAACAUUGACAUGAAAACAAUAAUACUUCAAGCAUACUAACAAAGCAAUCAUGUCUUCUCGAAAUAACAUGGCCAAAGAAAGUUAUCCCUACAAAAUCAUAUCGCCUGGCUAUGCUCUAUCUUCAUCACACAAAAUAUUUAAAUCAUGCACAACCCCGAUGACAAGCCAAGCAAUUGUUUCAUACUUUUGGUGUUCUCAAACUUUUUCAAUCUUCACGCAAUACAUGUGCGUGAGCCAUGGACAUAGCACUAUAUGUGGAAUAGAAUGGUGGUUGUGGAGAAGACAAAAAGGAGAAGAUAGUCUCACAUCAACUAGGCGUAUCAACGGGCUAUGGAGAUGCCCAUCAAUAGAUAUCAAUGUGAGUCAGUAUGGAUUGCCAUGCAACGGAUGCACUAGAGCUAUAAGUGUAUGAAAGCUCAAAAAGAAACUAAGUGGGUGUGCAUCCAACUCGCUUGCUCACGAAGACCUAGGGCAUUUUGAGGAAGGCCAUCAUUGGAAUAUACAAGCCAAGUUAUAUAAUAUAAAAUUCCCACUAGUAUAUGAAAGUGACAACAUAGGAGACUCUCUAUCAUGAAGAUCAUGGUGCUACUUUGAAGCACAAGUGUGGAAAAAGGAUAGUAGCAUUAUCCCUUCUCUCUUUUUCUCUCAUUUUUUGGUUUUUUUUUUGCGCCUUUUCCUUUUUUUUAUGGCCUCUUUUUUUUCGUUCGGAGUCUCAUCCCGACUUGUGGGGGAAUCAUAGUCUCCAUCAUCCUUUCCUCACUUGGGACAAUGCUCUAAUAAUUAUGAUCAUCACACUUUUAUUUUCUUACAACUCAAAAAUUACAACUCAAUACUUAGAACAAAAUAUGGCUCUAUAUGAAUACCUCCGGUGGUGUACUGGGAUGUGCAAUGAAUCAAGAGUGACAUGUAUGAAAGAAUUAUGAACGGUGGCUUUGCCACAAAUACGAUGUCAACUAUAUGAUCAUGCAAAGCAAUAUGACAAUGAUGGAGCGUGUCAUAGUAAACGAAAUGGUGGUAAGUUGCAUGGCAAUAUAUCUCGGAAUGGCUAUGGAAAUGCCAUAAUUGGUAGGUAUGGUGGCUGUUUUGAGGAAGGUAUAUGGUGGGUGUAUGAUACCGGUGAAAAGUGCGCGGUAUUAGAGAGGCUAGCAAUGGUGGAAGGAGGAAAGUGCGUAUAAUCCAUGGACUGAACAUUAGUCAUAAAGAACUCAUAUACUUAUUGCAAAAAUCUACAAGUUAUCAAAGCAAAGUAUUACGCGCAUGCUCCUAGGAAGAUAGAUUGGUAGGAAAAGACCAUCGCUCGUCCCCGACCGCCAAUCAUAAGGAAGACAAUCAAUAAAUAAAUCAUGCUCCAACUUCAUCACAUAACGGUUCACCAUACGUGCAUGCUACGGGAAUCACAAACUUUAGAACAAGUAUUUCUCAAAUUCACAACUACUCAACUAGCAUGACUCUAAUAUCACCAUCUUCAUAUCUCAAAACAAUCAUAAUGAAUCAAACCUCUGAUAGUAUUCAAUGCACUUAUAUGAAAGUUUUUAUUAUACCCAUCUUGGAUGCCCAUCAUAUUAGGACUAGUUUCAUAACCAAAGAAAAAUACCAUGCUGUUCUAAAGACUCUCAAAAUAAUAUAAGUGAAGCAUGAGAGUUCAUUUAUUUCUUCAAAAUAAAACCACCGCCGUGCUCUAAAAGGAUAUAAGUGAAGCACUAGAGCAAAUGAAAAACUACUCCGAAAGAUAUAAGUGAAGAUCAAUGAGUAGUUGAAUAAUUAUACAACUAUGUGAAGACUCUCUAACAUUAAAGAAUUUCAGAUCUUGGUACUUUAUUCAAACAGCAAGCAAAGCUAAAGAAAAUAAAAUGACGCUCCAAGCAAAACACAUAUCAUGUGGUGAAUGAAAAUAUAGCUCCAAGUAAAGUUACCGAUGAACGAAGACGAAAGAGGGGAUGCCUUCCGGGGCAUCCCCAAGCUUAGGCUCUUGGUUAUCCUUGAAUAUUACCUUGGGGUGCCUUGGGCAUCCCCAAGCUUAGGGUGUUGCCACUCCUUAUUCCAUAGUCCAUCGAAUCUUUACCCAAAACUUGAAAACUUCAGAACACAAAACUCAACAGAAAACUCGUAAGCUCCGUUAGCGAAAGAAAACAAAACACCACUUCAAGGUACUGUAAUGAAAUCAUUAUUUAUUUAUAUUGGUGUUAAACCUACUGUAUUCCAACUUCUCUAUGGUUUAUAAACUAUUUUACUAGCCAUAGAGUCAUCAAAAUAAGCAAACAACACACGAAAAAACAGAAUCUGUCAAAAACAGAACAGUCUGUAGUAAUCUGUAACUAACGCAAACUUCUGGAACUCAGAAAAAUCCACAAAAAUAGGAAGACCUAGAUAAUUUGAUUAUUGAUCUUCUGCAAUUGGAAUCAGUAUUUUAUCACGUUCUGGUGAUUUUAAAUCAUUGUUUUCGUGAACAGAAAGUUUCUGGAAUUUUCAGCAAGAUCAAAUAACUAUUAUCCAAGAAGACCCUAUAGGUCUUACUUGGCACAAACACUCAUUAAAACACAAAACCACAUCUAAACAGAAGCUAGAUGGAUUAUUAAUUACUAAACAGAACCAAAAAGCAAGAAACUAAAAUAAAAUUGGGUUGCCUCCCAACAAGCGCUAUCGUUUAACGCCCCUAGCUAGGCAUGAUGAUUUCAAUGAUGCUCACAAAAAGAUAAGAAUUGAAACAUAAAGAGAGCAUCAUGAAGAAUAUGACUAGCAAAUUUAAGUCUAACCCACUUCUUAUGCAUAGGGAUUUUGUGAGCAAACAACUUAUGGGAACAACAAUCAACUAGCAUAGGAAGGCAAAACAAGCAUAACUUCAAAACUUUAAGCACAUAGAGAGGAAACUUGAUAUUAUUGCAAUUCCUACAAGCAUAUAUUCCUCCCUCAUAAUAAUUUUCAGUAGCAUCAUGAAUGAAUUCAACAAUAUAACCAGCACCUAAAGCAUUAUUUUCAUGAUCUACUUGCAUAAAAAUUUUACUACUCUCCACAUAAGCAAAAUUCUUCUCAUUCGGAAUAGUGGGAGUAUCAUAAGAGACUUGGAUACUAUAAAUUGUUUCCACAUUAAAAGAGUAAUGUUCAGAGAAAGGGUACUCAUAAUCAUGACAAGUUUUAUAAAUAUAAUCAUCACUACUCUUUAUAGCAUAAGUUUCAUCGCAAUAAUCAUCAUAAGUAGCAACUUUGUUCUCAUCAUAAUCAAUUGAAACCUCUUCCGAAAUAGCGGAUACAUCACUAAAUAAAGUCAUGACCUCUCCAAAUCCACUUUCAUAAAUAUUAUAAGAUUCAACAUCCUCCAAAAUAGUGGGAUCAUUACUUCCUAAAGUUGACACUCUUCCAAACCCACUUUCAUCAAUAUAAUCAUCAUAGGUAGAAGGCAUGCUAUCAUCAUAACAACUUUGCAUAUCAAAACUUGGGAGGCAAAAAAUAUUAUCUUUAUUAAACAUAGCAUCCCCAAGCUUGGGACAAACAUUAAUUGCAGCAAAUAUAUUCUCAAAAACAUCAUCCUCAUCAAACAUAGCAUCCCCAAGCUUGGGCCUUUUCAUAUCAUAAGCAUAAUCACUCUCAUCAUUAAUAGUAUGGAUAGCACCAAUAGUAUAGCAAUUAUCAUAUUCUUCCAAGCAAGUGCCAAAAAGAUUUUCAAGAUCAUAAGAAGUAUGAAUAUCUUCCCAAUCAUAAUCAUCACAACAAGCAAUAGGCAUAACGAGAUCAUCAUCAAGUGCAUCAUCUUCCACAAUUAUUUUUGAUUCAUUUUCAUGGGGCACAACAAUAAUAGGAGCAACAUUAUUUGGGAGAGAUAUCUUUUUACCUCUCUUCCUUUUUCUUUUCUUCUUAUUCACCUCAUGUGUGGGUUCAAUCCUCUUUUUGGAGCUCCUUAUUAAUGAGAUUGGUUGAAUAGAAGGCUCCUCCUCGUUACCUGAUUCAUCAUAAGAAAUAAUAGGAGAAUACUGGGAAGUCUCUUCCCUUUGUUAGCAUUCUCUUCAUCUUCUAUUUGUUUUCUUUUCUUUAUGUAAUUGGCAAUAUAAGGAUUUUCAAUGCAAUUCACCGCACAAUACAUAUAACUUUCUUCUAGAUCAAAAUGAAGAACUCUAUCAAGGGCAAAUUCUGGAAUAUCCUUAGUUAUACGUUUCAUUUCUUCAUAACCCAAGAGCAAACUAAGUUCAUUAUGAUGUGCAAGGGAAAUCAAGUCAUCACAAUUUUUGGACACGAUACAAUCAUGAAACAAUUUGCAUUGGGUACUGAAAUGAUCACGUUCAUUGCAAAGUUCACAAGUACGGCUAAGAAAGUUUAAAUUUUCAGCACAAACAUCUAGCCUCUCUUGCAACCAUUUAGUUUCUAAGUGCUUAUGCCUCUUGCAAUAUCUAUCUUCCCUAUUUGGUGUGUACUUGCAAACCCAAUGCACUCCACAAAAAUUGACAUGUUUAUAGGAGACAUUUUCAUCAUAACUAGUGCAAUCAUCAUUAGUACUAUGGAUAUUCAAGGAGUUCAUACCAACAACAUUGCAAUCAUGCUCAUCAUUCAAAGAUUUAGUGCCAAACAUUUUAAUGCAUUCUUCUUCUAACACUUUGGCACAAUUUUCCUUCCCAUCAUGCUCACGAAAGAUAUUAAAAAGAUGAAGCGUAUGAGGCAAACUCAAUUCCAUUUUUUUUUGUAAUUUUCUUUUAUAGACUAAACUAGUGAUAAAACAAGAAACUAAAAGAUUCGGUUGCAAGAUCUAAAGAUAUACCUUCAAGCACUCACCUCCCCGGCAACGGCGCCAGAAAAGAGCUUAGUUGACGGGGUGUGAGUGCCGCUUACCUAGCCUCCUCGGCAACGGCUCCAGAAAAGAGCUUUAUGUCUACUGCGCAACCUUCUUCUUGUAGACGUUGUUGGGCCUCCAAGUGCAGAGGUUUCUAGGACAGUAGCAAAUUUCUCUCAGGUGGAUGAACUAAGGUUUAUCAAUCCGUGGGAGGCGUAGGUUGAAGAUGGUCUCUCUCAAGCAACCCUGCAACCAAAUAACAAAGAGUCUCUUGUGUCCCCAACACACCCAAUACAAUGGUAAUUUGUAUAGGUGCACUAGUUCGGCGAAGAGAAGGUGAUACAAGUGCAAUAUGGAUGGAAGAUAUAGGUUUUUGUAAACUGAAAAUAUAAAAACAGCAAGGUAACAAGUGGUAAAAGUGAGCAUAAACAGUAUUGCAAUGCUAGGAAACAAGGCCUAGGGUUCAUACUUUCACUAAUGCAAGUUCUCUCAACAAUAAUAACAUAAUUGGAUCAUAUAACUAUCCCUCAACAUGCAACAAAGAGUCACUCCAAAGUCACUAAUAGUGGAGAACAAACGAAGAGAUUAUGGUAGGGUACGAAACCACCUCAAAGUUAUUCUUUCCAAUCAAUCCGUUGGGCUAUUCCUAUAAGUGUCACAAACAGCCCUAGAGUUCGUACUAGAAUAACACCUUAAGACACAAAUCAACCAAAACCCUAAUGUCACCUAGAUACUCCAAUGUCACCUCGAGUAUCCGUGGGUAUGAUUAUACGAUAUGCAUCACACAAUCUCAUAUUCAUCUAUUCAACCAACACAAAGUACUUCAAAGAGUGCCCCAAAGUUUCUACCGGAGAAUCAAGACGAAAACGUGUGCCAACCCCUAUGCAUAGGUUCAAGGGCGGAACCCGCAAGUUGAUCACCAAAACAUACAUCAAGUGAAUCACGUGAUAUCCCAUUGUCACCACAGAUACGCACGGCAAGACAUACAUCAAGUGUUCUCAAAUCAUUAAAGACUCAAUCCGAUAAGAUUACUUCAAAGGAAAAACUCAAUCCAUUACAAGAGAGUAGAGGGGGAGAAGCAACAUAAGAUCCAACUAUAAUAGCAAAGCUCGCGAUACAUCAAGAUCGUGCCAAAUCAAGAACACGAGAGAGAGAUCAAACACAUAGCUACUGGUACAUACCCUCAGCCCCGAGGGUGAACUACUCCCUCCUCGUCAUGGAGAGCGCCGGGAUGAUGAAGAUGGCCACCGGUGAGGGAUCCCCCCCUCCGGCAGGGUGCCGGAACAGGGCCCCGAUUGUUUUUUUGGUGGCUACAGAGGCUUGCGGCGGCGGAACUCCCGAUCUAUUCUGUUCCCCGAAGUUUUUAGGGUAUAUUGGUAUAUAUAGGUGAAAGAAGUACGUCAGGGGAGCCACGAGGGGCCCACGAGGGUGGAGGCCGCGCCCAGGGGGGUGGGCGCGCCCCCCUGCCUCGUGCCUUCCUCGUUGCUUUCUUGACGUGGACUCCAAGUCUCCCGGGUUGCUUUCCUUCCAAAAAUAACUUCUCCAGAAGGUUUCAUUCCGUUUCGACUCCGUUUGAUAUUCCUUUUCUUCGAAACACUAAAACAAGGGGAAAAACAGAAACUGGCACUGGGCUUUGGGUCAAUAAGUUAGUCCCAAAAAUAAUAUAAAAGUGCAUAAUAAAGCCCAUAAACAUCCAAAACAGAUAAUAUAAUAGCAUGGAACAAUCAAAAAUUAUAGAUACGUUGGAGACGUAUCAUGCGCCCUACCUCCCUGGGCGCGCCCCCUGCCUCGUGGGCCCUUGGUGGCCCCCCUCCACUUAUUCCUGCACCCACACACUUCUUCUUCCUACCAAAAAAUCACCAUCCAGCUCAAGCACGAGUUCUAGCUCAUUUUGCUGCGAUUUUCGAUCUCCUUGCUCAAAGCACCUCUCACAAAACUGCUUGGGGGGAUUGUUCCUUGGUAUGUGACUCCUCCAUUGGUCCAAUUAGUUUUUGUUCUAGUGCUCUAUUCAUUGCAAAUUUGUGCUUCCUAGGUGACCAUGUUCUUGAGCUUGCAUGUCAAAUUUAUAUGGUUCCAAGUAGUUCCAAUGCAUGAUAUAGUCUCUAGGCACUUGUAGGAGUAGUUGCUAUCAAUUUUGUUGAGCUUGGUUCACUUUUAUUUUGAAGUUACUAAAAAUUUCAGAAUUUUUCAGAAAAUAAUGAAGAGAUUUUUGAGGGGUUCAUCGAGCCGAAGCUCGAAGGAAAAGCAAAAUGUAGAAGCAUAGAGGCCCAAAUAUAAUCUGCCUCGCCCCGCGGAGGUUCGGCCGUGUGAAUGGCCUUCCAAUGAUUUCUUGAGAGAAGUCGGGAUUUAUGACGAUUUAUAUUCAUUGGCUGAGAAUGCAGGCCUCACCGACUUCCUCCGCGACCAACGGUACCAGUAUCUCUUACUCACCAAUACUUUUGUGCAAAACUUCUACUAUUAUCCUAAGGAAACACCUCCUUCAGUAGAGUUUCAUUUAUAUGAUGUUGUUAAGAAGAUGCCACUAGAUGAAUUUUGCAAGGUUUGCAAAAUACCUUUCGAGGGUAGUUUAGAUGAACCACAUCGUAAAGAUGUGGACAGGUUUAUUGACACUAUUACUAUGGGGGAAACUAGGAAGGUUUCCGAUGCAAGAAUCACUAGCAUACAUUUUCCUGUUUUACGCUACUUUGCUUUAUUUGCUAGUCGUUGCUUAAUUGGUCGCGGAAACUGUGGAAACCUUAGUGUUCCUGAUAUUAUCAUUUUGUUCCAUGGUUUAUUUUCCGAUAACACUGUUAGUAGGGCGGUAUUAUUGCUAAACGGUUAAGUUUGAACCGUACAAAGGGUCCCAUCUUUGGAGGUAUUUAUGCUUCACGCCUUGCUGCACAUUAUAACAUACCUAUUAGGCACUAUGAAAAAGAAGAAAAAUUGCUGCCCAAUGCUUAUUUAGAUUAUAAGAGUAUGGUAGCGCAUGAUUUCAUUGUUAAAAAUAAGGAAGGGGCGCUUAAAUACAAAUUGUUCUUUGAUAAGCAUCACCCUGAGACUAUUAUCUUGCCUGCUCCUUCCUUGUUUAAUUUAUCUGCAGGCCCGUAUCUCGUUCCGUGGGUGGCCAUUUACGCUUACCGGAACCCUACACCAGCCACGGAGCCGGAACCAAUUUGAUCCUCCACGACAGUCUAAUUACUAUUGGGAUCCGGAGAUGACUGCCAGCCAGUGGCAGUCAGAGUCUUCUUCAUCUCAGUACGACCCCAGCUACAACUAUGGAUAUCCGCCAGGCCAUCCGUGGCAAUAAACCAACUUAGGCCAAAAGCCUAAGCUUGGGGGAGUACGUAUUUCCCACCGACAUUACAUUCAUGUUCACACACACUCAUUGCUAGAUGUUGGUGCUCAUACUUUUUCACUGUAAUAUCCAUGCUAGUUUAUUUUCUUUUUCUUGCUUUCUUCUUGUGUGUUUGAUAAACCUUAAGAAAAACCAAAAAAAUUAGCUGUAGCUUUUAUCUAGUUUACCUUUCUUGUUGUAGUAGUAAUAAUUAAAAAGAAAACCCAAAAAGAUUUCCCGUUCUUCUUUUGCUUGUUGGGAGCUUUCCCGUGUAAAUAGUUUUAUUUCUUUUCUUUUCUUUGGGGGUCGAUAGGAGAAGACCAUGAUUAAAUUGUUGAAGUGGCUCUUAUAUGCAUUAUUGUUGAUUUAGCCGAGAGCCCAUAUUGCCUUGUCUUCUCCUGUUUAUUGAAUGCUCACAGAUUCCAGCUUAGUCCAAUGCAUGUGCACUCUUAUUAUUAUUCACAUCGUUCGGUCGUGCAAGUGAAAGGCAAUUAUGACGAUAUAUGAUGGACUGACUGAGAUGAGAAAAGCUGGUAUGAACUCAACCUCUCUUGUUUUUGUAAAUAUGAUUAGUUCAUCGUUCCUCAUUCAGCCUAUUAUGAAUAAACAUGUUUGCAAUGACAAUUACAGAUCAUAGUUGCUUAUGUCAUGCUUGAUUAGCUAUGAGUUAUAAUAGUUUACCUUGCGUGCCAACAUGCUAUUAAAAUGGUUGUGAUGUGGUAUAGUGGGGUGGUAUCCUCCUUUGAAUGAUUUAAGUGACUCGACUUGGCACAUGUUCACACAUGUAGUUGAAACAAAUCAACAUAGCCUUCACGAUAUUUAUGUUCAUGGUGGAUUAUAUCCUACUCAUGCUCGUACUCAAUGUCUAUUAAUUUUAAUGCAUGUUCAUGACUGUUGUCGCUCUCUAGUUGGUCGCUUCCCAGUCUUUUGCUAGCCUUCACUUGUACUAAGCGGGAAUACUGCUUGUGCAUCCAAUUCCUUAAACCCCAAAGUUAUUCCAUAUGAGUCCACUAUACCUUCCUAUAUGCGGUAUCUACCUGCCGUUCCAAGUAAAUUUGUAUGUGCCAAACUCUAAACCUUCAAAUAAACAUUCUGUUUUGUAUGCUCGAAUAGCUCAUGUAUCAACUAGGGCUGUCCGUAUCUUCCAUGCUAGGCGGGUUAUUCUCAAGAGGAGUGGACUCCGCUCCUCACUCACGUGAAAAUGGCUGGUCUCCGGGAUGCCCAGUCCCGUGCUUUAUGCAAACUAAAUCAAAAAUAAUUGCAAACAAAACUCCCUCGGGACUGUUGCUAGUUGGAGGCACUCGUUGUUUCGAGCAAGCCAUGGAUUGAUGCUUGUUGGUGGAGGGGGGGUAUGAACUUUGCCAUUCUGUUUGGGAACCGCCUAUAAUGUGUGUAGCAUGGAAGAUAUCGCCAUCUCUUGGUUGUUAUGUUGACAAUGAAAGUAUGCCGCUCAAAAUAUUAUUUAUCUCUAUUUCAAAACCGAGCUCUGGCACCUCUACAAAUCCCUGCUUCCCUCUGUGAAGGGCCUAUCUAUUUACUUUUAUGUUGAGUCAUCACCCUCUUAUUAAAAAGCACUAGCUGAAGAGCACUGCUGUCAUUUGCAUCCAUUACUAUUAAUUUAUAUUGGGUAUGACUAUGAUUGGAUCUCUUUUACCAUGAAUUACAAUGUUUAGUCAGUCCUUGAUCUUUAAAGGUGCUCUGCAUUUAUGUUUUGCGGUCUCAGAAAGGGCUAGCGAGAUACCAUCUUAUUAUAUCAUAUCAUGAUUGUUUUGAGAAAGUGUUGUCACCCGAGAUUUGUUAUUAUUGCUCGCUAGUUGAUUAUGCCAUUGACAUGAGUAAACAUGAGACCUAAGAGUUAUUGUGAAUGUGGUUAGUCAUAAUCUUUGCUGAAAACUUGAAUGUUGGCUUUACAUAUUUACAACAACAAGAGCAAACAGAGUUUGUAAAAGUUUUUCUUUAUCACUUUCAGUUUAUCAACUGAAUUGCUUGAGGACAAGCAAAGGUUUAAGCUUGGGGGAGUUGAUACGUCUCCGUCGUAUCUACUUUUCCAAACACUUUUGCCCUUGUUUUGGACUCUAACUUGCAUGAUUUGAAUGGAACUAACCCGGACUGACGCUGUUUUCAGCAGACUUUCCAUGGUGUUAUUUAUGUGCAGAAACAGAAGUUCUCGGAAUGACCUGAAACUCCACGGAACAUCUAUUUGGAAAAUAAGAAAAAUACUGGAAGAAAAAUCCACGUCAGGGGGCCCACACCCUGUCCACGAGGGUGGGGGCGCGCCUGCCCCCCCUGGGCGCGUCCCCCUACCUCGUGGGCCCCCUGACGCUCCACCGACCUCAACUCCAACUCCAUAUAUUCACUUUAGGGAGAAAAAAAUCAGAGAGAAGGAUUCAUCGCGUUUUACGAUACGGAGCCACCGCCAAGCCCUAAAACCUCUCGGGAGGGCUGAUCUGGAGUCCGUUCGAGGCUCCGGAGAGGGGAAUCCGUCGCCAUCAUCAUCAUCAACCAUCCUCCAUCACCAAUUUCAUGAUGCUCACCGCCGUGUGUGAGUAAUUCCAUCAUAGGCUUGCUGGACGGUGAUGGGUUGGAUGAGAUCUAUCAUGUAAUCGAGUUAGUUUUGUUACGGUUUGAUCCCUAGUAUCCACUAUGUUCUGAGAUUGAUGUUGCUAUGACUUUGCUAUGCUUAAUGCUUGUCACUAGGGCCCGAGGCCAUGUGGUAGGACUAGGGUUCCUACCGGAUCGGCUCCUCAGGUUGUAGGGGCAGAACAACGGAGGUUGGGGGCGAAGACGGAGGCUCCGGCGCGUGGGCGCCGUCGCGAUGGAGGAUGCGGGCGGCGGCGACUAGGGCUGGCGCGGCUAGGGUUCCGGCUCCUCUGGAGCCGGGCAAUAGGAUAGAAAUAUCUUUAUUGCUUGAUUCCAAAAAGAGUCUUACAGCCUAUAUUUAUAACCUAGAUAACUUGUAUAAGAAUUAACCUAAGAUAACUUGCAUAAGAAUUAACCUAAGAUAACCUGUGGGCCAAGCCCCUAACUACUGCCCGGUGGGCCUCCUCUGGUUAUAUGCUAAACCGGUCAUAACAUCUCUCCCCGCCUGCGCAAACAGCUCGUCCUCGAGCUGAAAGUCUGGAUAGUGCUGGCUGAAGUCGUCAAGCUGCUCCCAAGGAGCCUCCUCCUCUGGAAGGCCCACCCACUGGAUCAGAACGAACCACACCCCGCGAUGGAGCUGCGCCUGCAACACCUUCUCUGGCUCCGGAAGAAGACGUUCGUCGGCGGUUGGAGGAAGCGCGGGUGGAGCGGCAGGUGGCUCUCCACGAAAAGGCUUGAGCAGCCCCACAUGAAAAACGUCGUGGAUGCGAGCACCGGCCGGAAGCUGAAGGCGAUAGGCCACCUGUCCAAUGCGCUCCAAGACGGCGAAGGGCCUGGCGUAGCGAGGGCCGAGCUUACGCUUCGCGCGCGGGUCGAGUGACUGCGUAGAGCGGUGGAGAAGACGCAGCCACACCCAAUCACCCACCGCGAACUCCGCCUCGCGAUGGUUGCCGUCAUAGUAAUGCUUGGCCAGCUGCUGGGCCUGGAGGAGACGCUGACGGACCUCAGCAAGCAUCUCAUCACAGGUGCGAAUAAGCUCACCGGCGGCCUCCGUCUGCGCCGUCGCCGGGUCCACCGGCAAGAUAGGCGGAGGCGGCCGACCGUAGACCACCUCAAAUGGUGUUGCACGCAGGGCGGAGUGAUAGGAGGUGUUGUAGCAGUACUCCGCCCACGCGAGCCAAUCCACCCAAGCCCGAGGGCGAUCACCUGUAACACAGCGCAAAUACAUGGCAAUCACCUUGUUAACGACCUCGGAUUGGCCGUCCGUCUGCGGGUGGAAGGCCGUGCUCAGGCGGAGCUUGACGCCCGCCAUCUUGAAGAGGUCGCGCCAAACAUGGCCUUGUACACCGGGUCCCGAUCACUGACGAUCGAAGAGGGGAACCCGUGAAGAUGAACGAUACCCUCGAAGAAGGCACGGGCCACGGACGCGGCAGUAUAUGGAUGCCCCAGCGCGAUGAAGUGGGCAUACUUGGAGAAGCGGUCGACCACAGUGAGAAUGACUGAUUUGUCGCCCACCUUGGGAAGGCCCUCGAUGAAGUCCAUGGAGAUAUCUGCCCAGACCUGAGACGGCACCUCCAAAGGCUGAAGCAAGCCAGCCGGCCGUAGAGUCUCCGUCUUGUUGCGCUGGCACGUCACACAAGACCGUACCCAGUCACGGACCAUGGCACGAUCACCUGGAAGGUAGAAGUCAGCGCGGAGACGAUGGAGUGUCUUCUGCACACCCUCAUGGCCCGCCGAGUGGGCGAGACGCAGCACCUGAUGACGAAGAUCGUUGUGCGCCGGAACGAAGACCCGACGCCCAUGGAGGAGCAGGCUGUUGGCAAGUCGCCACGGCUCCUCCAGCUCCCCCGCCGCCAGCUGCUGCUGAAGGAGGAGAGAGUCGGCCGUGUCUGCGGUCGCGCGCCCGAUGUCGGCGUAGAGAGCGAAGGAGGGCCCGGUGAUGAUGCAGAAAGCCGCCCCCUCAGCUGCACCGUCGUCCACCUCGGCGUCAUGCCGAGACAGGGCGUCGGCGACGGUGUUAAGGCGACCAGGCCGGUACACGACGGUGAAGUCAAACCCGAAGAGUUUACUGAUCCACUGGUGCUGCGGCACGGUCGAGAGCCUCUGAUCCAGCAUGAAUUUGAGGUUGUAAUGGUCCGUGCGGAUCCGGAAGGAGCGACCCCAAAGAUAGGGCCGCCAAUGGCGCACUGCCUGCACCAAUCCAAUGAGCUCGCGCUCAUAAGCCGCCAGCUUAAGAUGGCGUGCGGCAAAGGGCCGGCUGAAGCAGGCGAGGGGUCCAUCGCCCUGAUGAAGGACCGCACCGAACCCCGCGCCGGAGGCGUCGCAGUCGACGGUGAACGGGAGGUCGAAAUCCGGCAUCUGCAGGACGGGACCCGUCGUGAGGGCCCCCUUGAGGGCCGCGAACGCUGUAGUGGCCUCCUCAUCCCAAGAGAAGGCGUCACGUCGGAGAAGGCGCGUGAGCGGGGCCACGAUGAGGCCAAACUCCCGGAUGAACUUCCGAUAGUACCCUGCGAGGCCUAGGAAGCCGCGAAGAGCCCGCGGCGACUGCGGGGUCGGCCAGGCGGUGACGGCCGCCACCUUGUCGGCGUCCAUGGCCACCCCCUAGGCCGAGAUGACGUGGCCGAGGUAAGCGACAGAAGGCGUCCCGAACGAGCACUUCGAGCGCUUAAGGUGAAGAUGAUGCAUCACCAAGAACUCAAAGUGGCAGUGGUGAGUCCGAAACGCCGUCUUGGCGAUGUCAUCCGGGUGCAUGCGCAUCUGAUGAUACCCCGACCGGAGAUCCAACUUGGUGAAGAAGCGCGCCCCGUGUAGCUCGUCGAGAAGCUCAUCGACCACCGGAAUAGGAAACUUGUCCUUUAGUGUGAGCGCGUUAAGGGCGCGGUAGUCGAUGCAGAAACGCCACGUGCCAUCUGACUUGCGAACGAGGAGGACCGGCGCCGUGAACGGCGAUGUGGAGAUACGGAUGAUGCCCGCAGCAAGCAUGAGCGCACACUGCCGCUCCAACUCGUCCUUCUGCAUCUGAGGAUACCGGUAGGGCCGUACGGCCAAAGGGGCCGAUCCCGGAAGGAGGUGAAUGCGGUGGUCGUAGAUCCGGGCUGGCGGAAGGCCCCGCGGCUCCUCAAAGAGAUCACGGUGCUGCUGCAGGAGGUUGUCCAACAGCAGAUGCUCGGCCUCGGUGGUAGCCGCCGCCAGCUGAAGCGGGGGCGUCGCCGGGGUGCCUCCAAUGCCCUCCCAGCGGACGCGGCGGCCGAGACGCCAGAAGGUCAUCGUCAGGGCGUCGAAGUCCCAAAGAAUGGGACCGAUAGUCCGCAAGAAGUCGACACCGAGGAUGAAGUCGAAACAGCCCAAAUCAAUGCCGGCGCAAGUGAUGGUGAAGUGCUCGUCGCCGAUCAUGAUGGGCACGUCGCGGGCAAGCCCAUGGCAGCGUAGACGGUCGCCAUUAGCGACAGUGACCCGCAGCUGCUCCCCGCCUGUCGGCUGUAACGCGAGGCGUCACAUGGUGGCCUCUAGCAGGAAGUUAUGUGUAGAGCCUGUGUCCAGGAGGGCCACCAGGCGCUCGCCCUGGAUCGUGACCAGUAAGAGCAUCGUCCGCUCAUCACGGAUGCCGGCCAGCACAUGAAGCGAGACAACGAGGGCAGUGGCCGGAGCGGGCGCGGGUGCCGGCUCGGGCUCUGUGACGGCUGGGGCGCCGAGGCCAUCCUCCGGUGUGUCAUCCUCGGGCUCGUCCGUUGUCUCCAAGUAGAAGAGGCAUGGGCAGACAUGGCCCGGGGCAUAGGGUGCAUCACAGUUGAAGCACAGUCCCAAGCGUCGGCGCUCGAGCUGCUCCGCCUGAGUAAGGCGCCUGAACGGGCACGUCGUGCCCGGGUUGGCCGCCGGUGCUGCAGUGGAUGACGCGGGUGUCGUCGGUGGCGGCCGGAAGGUUUGGCAGCCCCCACGAGGCGCGGAUGGCCGCGUCACGGCCUGGGCGCGCUGCUCGAAAGCCCGAGCGUAGUACAUGGCCGUCUGAAGGUCUUGGGGCCCCUUCAUCUCAACGUCCACGCGGAUGUGGUCGGGAAGGCCGCUGACGAAGAGUUCAACCCGCUGUAGGGCCGUCACACCCGGCGCGUGGCACGCCAGGGCCUGGAAGCGGUCGGCGAAAUCUUGCACCGUGGAGGUGAAGGGCAGGCGGCCCAAGUCGGCCAGUCGGCUCCCGCGUAAUGGCGGUCCGAAGCGAAGAAGGCACAGCUCGCGGAAGUGCUCCCACGGGGGCAUGCCGCCCUCGUCCUGCUCGAGGGCGUAGUACCAUGUCUGGGCUGCCCCGCGAAGAUGAUAGGACGCCAGCCAAGUGUGCUCCGACGCGGGCGUGCGCUGCCCACGGAAGAACUGGUCACACUGGUUGAGCCAGUUAAGCGGGUCGUCGGAGGCGUGGUAGGUGGCAAAGUCGAUCUUCGCGAACCGGGGCGGCUGCUGGUGUGGCGCACCCUGGCCCACUGCCUCGGCGGUGCGGAGGGCUGAUGACGGCGCUCGGUCCAUGGUGGGGAGGCCGGCGUAGUGCCCUGUGGCGCCCGAUGCCUCGGGCUGCAAAUGGGAAUCCGACAGUGGCCGGGCCUCCGUGUAAGCCGGCGGAGAGGACGUCCCGUGGAGCCAGCCUGGAAGCGGAGAUGGUGACGGUGGGAAGCGGACCUCCUGGAUCGGGAGUCCGCUCGGCGAGGACCGGCCCAAGCUAGGGCUGGGCGGGGGUAGUGGUGGCACCUGCACGGUUGCAGCUAGGGGGAACGGCGCGGCGGGGGAUGGUGCGGACGGCGUGGCCCAGGUCGCCACUGCGGGCCCUGGGCGGCGGCUGGCGGCGCGGGGGGCGCCGCAAGUGUCGGCGGCGGCCACUGUGGCCACGGCGGCGUCGAAGCCGCCGGUGAGGGAAGCGCCGGAUAGCCCCCGGUGAUGGCCGGAUGGAGCUGCGGGGGCGGCCCGUACGGGCCAGCCAAGUAGAGGCGAACCUUGUACAGCGACGCCCAGGUCGUUGAGCACGCCGGCCAUGGCCUCCGGUGUAAACUGCUGCGGCACGGGGGGAGGCGAUGGCGGCGAGUGGAGGACGGGAGGUGGCGGCUGGCCUUGGCCCGGCGUGGUGUCGGGUGCAGGGGAGAUCGGCGCCGACAGCGAGGCCGUGGCGCCAGCCGAUAGCGAGGCCGUGACGCCCGGCGAUGAAGCGGCGGCGGUGGUGGAGUUGGUGGCAGCGGCGGUGGGGGAGCUGGCGGGCAGCGGCGGCGGUGGUGGUGGCGGUGAAGACAUGGUCGAGACCCGGGUACCUGAUACCAAAUUGGUAGGACUAGGGUUCCUACCGGAUCGGCUCCUCAGGUUGUAGGGGCAGAACAGCGGAGGUUGGGGGCGAAGACGGAGGCUCCGGCGCAUGGGCGCCGUCGCGAUGGAGGAUGAGGGCGGCAGCGACUAGGGCUGGCGCGGCUAGGGUUCCGGCUCCUCUGGAGCCGGGCAAUAGGAUAGAAAUAUCUUUAUUGCUUGAUUCCAAAAAGAGUCUUACAGCCUAUAUUUAUAACCUAGAUAACUUGCAUAAGAAUUAACCUAAGAUAACUUGCAUAAGAAUUAACCUAAGAUAACUUGUGGGCCAAGCCCCUAACUACUGCCCGGUGGGCCUCCUCCGGUUAUAAGCUAAACCGGUCAUAACACCAUGAUUUCAGAUCUGAACCUAUUAUGUUUUCAUGAAUAUAUGUGAGUUCUUGAUCCUAUCUUGCAAGUCUAUAGUCACCUACUAUGUGUUAUGAUCCGGCAACCCCGAAGUGACAAUAAUCGGGACCACUCCCGGUGAUGACCAUAGUUUGAGGAGUUUAUGUAUUACCUAUGUGCUAAUGCUUUGUUCCGAUACUCUAUUAAAAGGAGGCCUUAAUAUCCCUUAGUUUCCAUUAGGACCCCGCUGCCACGGGAGGGUAGGACAAAAGAUGCCAUGCAAGUUCUUUUCCAUAAGCGCGUAUGACUAUAUUCGGAAUACAUGCCUACAUUACAUUGAUGAAUUGGAGCUAGUUCUGUGUCACCCUAUGUUAUGAUUGUUACAUGAUGAACUGCAUCUGGCAUAAUUCUCCAUCACCGAUCCAAUGCCUAUGAGCCUUUCACAUAUUGUUCUUCGCUUAUUUACUUUUCGGUUGCUACUGUUACAAUCACUACAAAACACCAAAAAUAUUACUUUUGCUACCGUUAAUUUUGUUACCGUUGCCACUAUUAUCAUAUUACUUUGCUACUAAACACUUUGCUGCAGAUACUAAGUUAUCAAGGUGUGGUUGAAUUGACAACUCAACUGCUAAUACUUGAGAAUAUUCUUUUGCUCCCCUUGUGUCGAAUCAAUAAAUUUGGGUUGAAUACUCUACCCUCGAAAACUGUUGUGAUCUCCUAUACUUGUGUGUUAUCAAUGCAUCCAAACUUGGAUUCAAGUGCACCCCACAGUUCUUUGGCAUCACGCGUAUGCAAAUAUGCAUCAACCAACUUGUCACCCAACACACUUAUGACGACACCCCACAAAGAUUACAAUCAUCUCUAAGGACGCUUUGUUCUGUUCACAAGUAAGCGGGCAUCUUGAAGCACCAGCUGAAACAUUGUACAUGUUCAUAAAGGUGAUCCACUUGAUGGUUUUGGUCUGCCACCUCUUGAAGUGAGCACCUAUCACCAGUAGCGAUUUUAGAGCAGCAACAAUCAGUCAACGGAAAUUGCCUGAACAUAUGAGGUUUCUGGAUUGUUAGGAAAUUAGACAUUUUUUUGCUUAAGCUGAGCCCAGGUUAGCAUGGCAAAGCACAUACAACAAACUAGGAACAUCUAGCAUAUAGGCAUAUGGGCCAGAGGCGCAUGUCAAUAGAGAGAGAUUCGGAACAUAUGAGUUCACCGGAAAUUAGGGUGCAACAACGUCAUUGGCCAUGAUGGUAAAGAUAAGGUGUCCAUCCGUUGUAGAGGAAGCAGACGGAUGGUUGUCGUGGAUGUAGUCGAACUUGAGCGAACAGUCGCACUAAAGACGCUCCCCAAAAACCUUACUGCCCCUCUCCCAGUGCAACUUGUCAAGGGACGCGGUUACGGAGGUGUCUUCUCUCCCAGAUUGUUGUGCACACAGACGCCAGGAUGGGAUUGCUGAAGAAGUAGCUCGACACAAAGAGCUUGGCCAGAGUGUGUGUGUUCUAUCUACGACUAUGUGUAUUAUGUAUAGCCUAUUUUUGCGGAUGUAUUCUGCAUAGCAUCUCUGCUCUAUAUUUCCUUUGCAUAGAGAGGACGUGUAGGAAACUAAAGAAAUGCAACUGACACGUGGGUGGAAGACCUCUCUGAAAAUAGAGAGUGUGUCCAUAAUGAUCUCGAGUAUUGACAUGUACGCUCAAAGCUAGGUAGUGCACUGCCAUGCAAAAUUUUAGUUCUUCCAAAUAAGGCGCAUAAUAUUAGCUCAAGCGCGAACUCAAUUCACGCGUGUUGCAUGAAGUGAGUGCGUGAAACCGCGCAUUGCAUGAAAGGAGUAAGCGAGCAUGCGUGUUGUUGCUCUUUUUUAUCAUCUUACAAAGAGUAGUAUAACAACUCACCUUUUUAUAAUUAAACUAAUAAACCUUAAUCAAAACUAUUCAACUAGGCUAAAAAUAAAAACAAUAGUUUUCCUUGAUUUGAUACAGCUCGCGCAACCCACAUCGAAACAAUGCUUUACCCUUAGAUGUUCAGUUAAGUGCUGCGCCUCAACACAUUUCACGGAGAACUAGCUAGCUCCGGGUUCGAGUGGCAUUUCACCCCUGGUGCUACUUUCCCUCAUCUAGCAUUAGGAUGUUAAACUUACACGCUUGUCAUGUUAUUCGGAUGAGCCAUUGAGAUUCCACAAUUUUACUAGGUUGAGGCAUAAGAUCCAGGGUAGUCCCUAUAUAUUUAAAGAAAUAUGAGAGCAUUUAGAUCACUUUUUCUUACAGAGUACAUAUUGAGGACAUUUGAUGUAUUGCCUUUUAAGUUCUUGAUGAAUAAUUAAAAAAAAUGGUUGCAUGCAUCGCCGUGAUGCAGAGGCCAAGGUUCAUCCUUUUUUUAAAAAUAAACAUAUGGGGGAAAUAUUUUUCUUAUUGGACAGGAGGGGCAUCUUGCUUUCUUUUCUUUUUUGAACCUGGACAUCUUCGUGACACGGCCCAGGGCCCGGGCCCAGUAAAAACACGACACGGCACUGAGCAGGUGCGUAAACUCUCUCAGAAGGCGGAAAAUGCCCCUCUCUCCUUCUCUUCUGAUCUCUGCCACCUCUCCCUCCAUGGCCACCAAGAGGAAGCCGGCGGAGGCGAAUGCGAAGGAGUAGGCGAGGGAAGACGACGCGGAGGGGCUCUUCUCCUCGCGCUCCAUCGUCNNNNNNNNNNNNNNNNNNNNNNNNNNNNNNNNNNNNNNNNNNNNNNNNNNNNNNNNNNNNNNNNNNNNNNNNNNNNNNNNNNNNNNNNNNNNNNNNNNNNNNNNNNNNNNNNNNNNNNNNNNNNNNNNNNNNNNNNNNNNNNNNNNNNNNNNNNNNNNNNNNNNNNNNNNNNNNNNNNNNNNNNNNNNNNNNNNNNNNNNNNNNNNNNNNNNNNNNNNNNNNNNNNNNNNNNNNNNNNNNNNNNNNNNNNNNNNNNNCCCUCGGGGAACUAGGAGUCCCCAUAAUGAUCUGAAAGAUCAAAACUAUACAUUUGGUGUUCGUAAUUUGAAGUACAGUACUCCCUCCGUCCCGAAAAACAUGUCGCGAGGUCAUUUUUUCAGUUUAGUCCUUGUCGUUCUCCCGACCAAACCCGCGGUCCUCAUCCUUCCUCAGCCUUCUCCGACGCCGGCCGAUUUGGUCGCCCCGCCCCCGCCGCCCCACGCCGCCUCCGCCUUGCUUCCCUCCCGCCUCCCCACACCGGCGCCUUGUUCCCCUCCCCUCCGACCGCCGCCUCGUUCCCCUACGCCCGCCGCCUUGUUCUCCUACGCCCGCCGCCCGCGAAGGUUCAAUUUUGGAGACCACCGUCUGCAGUCCUCGCUCUCCUUCCGCCUGCGCUCGUCGUGAACCACCUCCUCUCCGUCGACCAUGAAGAUCGCCCCUCCAUGGACGCCGUCGACCCGAGCACUGGGAAGCAUGGGUGCCCCUUCUCCAAUCCGCAAACGGUGCCUUCCACCAGCGGCGCUCCGUCCGACGGAGCCGUCCUUCCCCGAGGGUGGCAAGCCGGAGCUGGCACUGCCCUUCGUCGACCCCCUCCUCGCCGUAUGGCUGCCUCGCCGCCCAGCAGCCACCACCACUGUCCACCUGGCCGUCAACCUCAUCCACUACUACAGAGCGAAGGUGAGGAUGCUUGCCUGAAUCCCCAAAAUGUCAAAACUGAAAAUUUUAGUACUGUACUCACAUGUGAAUCACUCCAUUUUGGGCAUUUUUUGUGGAAUUUUGAAACAUUUACUCCAUUUUGGGACACACGCAGGUGGGAUUCAGUGUACUCUACGAACUGCUUCAAAAUGUAGGGCAUUUUGGGACACACACAGGUGUGCAUUUUUGUGGAAUUUUCAGUUUGUAAAAUUGGAUUAUUGAAGAAGUGUAUUUUCCAUUUUGAAACUGAAAAUAAACCGUAUGUUCUGCAUUCUGUAUGUUGAGGCGGAAAAUGCCCCUCUCUCCUUCUCUUCUGAUCUCUGCCACCUCUCCCUCCAUGGCCACCAAGAGGAAGCCGGCGGAGGCGAAUGCGAAGGAGUAGGCGAGGGAAGACGACGCGGAGGGGCUCGCGCUCCAUCGCCGACGUCGGCCUCGACCACCCCACCCUCCGAGGCGCUUCCCCUUCUCUGUGGCCCUAGUGAUUUGGCAGUCCCCUCGGGGAACUAGGAGUCCCCAUAAUGAUCUGAAAGAUCAAAACUGUACAUUUGGUGUUCGUAAUUUGAAGUACAGUACAAGUUUGGCAUAGAAGACAUGUCUGAAACGUCACGCACCUACUUCUAGUUGUGAUAUGGAGAGAGUAAUAAUAAUAUGUGAACAUUAGUGCAUUCUAUUGGAUUCGUGCAUAAACUGUAACAGCAGGCAGCAGCAGCAGCACAUAGGCACAUAGGAGCAAGGGCGAGCAAGAGGGGCACUGGAUCUGUGGAGGAAGACAAGCAGAGGAGCACAGAUGAGAGGAUAAAUCGAUCCUCACCUGCCGGCUGCCGAGGAGGAGGAGGAGGAUCGCCACAGCCGCUGCUGGAACCAGAGAAAAGGGGCCGCUCGAAUCGGACAAGAACAGCCGCCACCGCAAUACUCUCUCGGCCUCUCUUCUCUUCCCACCCUUUUACCCUAGCCGCCAAGCCAAUUUUGGCCCAGGCCUUAUAUCCCCCCUAUCUCCUCCCGCCUGUAUUAAGCGCUGCCUAAGAACACUUUCUUUAACAUUGAGUACAAUUGCCGUCUUCAAAUCAGAAAUGGCAAUCCUCUCAUCUUCCAUACCGUCAGUUUUGAGAAAACAGCAAAUCCAGUGUCCACUAACCUCAUGUCUUGUAGGCCCAAUACAUGGACCAAAACAAUGACCAAGUAAGUACACAUAGUUAAUAUUCGUUUAAAAGGACACCAGAUUCACUUAUAGAGCAACUUUCUCGAACAGUUUGUUCAGAAAUUAAAUAGAAUGACAGAAGCAAAGUACAUACAGUUGCCAUUUUGCUACAUAUGAUUGUGUAGUUGCGCAGUUGGACCAAAUCAAAACAUGUUGAAUGUCAACACAUUAUUCGCCAUCCCAUCUUCUUCCAAGAUACUAGUUCCCAAUGCUCAUCUACAGUGUUCAGCAAUUUAGACCCAUCGUGUUGAGAAUCAUGCAAGUGGUUACAGAGGUGGUAAGUUGCCUAUGGAGGUUUGUGCACUUGAAAAACUGUUCGAGUCUUGCUGAUCAUCAGGUUCCCAUUUAGAUAUAGCAUAAAGUACUCUCCCUUUCCAUCCUUGUAGCAGCCAACCGCGAUCUUCAACAGCAAAAAAUUCCUCAUGAUAAAGUGAGUUCUUCAUGUGUACUGUUUUCUUUAAGACAGCUUGAUCGACAGGAAGCUGCUGGAACCCAGCCUUGAGAAAUCUUGCUUGCCACUGCCUGUAACUUUCUGGCCUAGUCCUUUCUGCAUCCUCACAUGCUAUGAUGUUAAGUGCAUCCCGCCCAAAUAUGAUCCUCUCAAUCAUCUCCCUUGCUUCAUUAUCCCGUGGAACAUUUGCAUCAAGCAUAUCAAACAUUGAAGAGUAAUGGAGCAUAACCUCUUUGAAUCGUUGUAUGAAGAAGGGAGAACUGUGUAAACCAUUCAUGGUGCAAGAAAUAAAAACCUUUGGGUUCAUCCUCCUCAUAAUUUUCAGCACCUCAUCCCUUGCGCUAUUUAUGGAUUCGGUUUCAUGACCAAGAUUCUUCAUCCGGAAUAUGCAGUUGAUUAUGAGAACUUCAUCCUCGUCAAUGUUAAGAUCCUCAAUUUUAAUGGUCUCCCAUCUUGAAGCGGCAAUGCCCUGAUACUGAAAAGGUACCUUGAACAUAUUUGCAUAAUCAGCUAACCGCUUCCCUGUCUCCUCGAUCAUUUCGCAAGAGCGAAAACCUGGCUGGGGAGCUUCUAUACCUGUGAUCCGAAGCUUAGGGGCUCCCUCUUCUCGCUGUGCAAACCUCUGAAUCAUUGAUGGCCACUGAAAGCCGAAGCUGAUGCCAAAAUCGACGAUGUGCACCCUUGGUUGCCUUUGUGAGACAUCAAGAAUAGUUUGGUUGGCAAAGUUGUAUGACACCCUUUUGAAAGGGCAAGCUUCAAGAAGAAGGCUGUAAGCCUCUACCCAAUCUGUGGUAUUUGUUCGCCUUUCCACGAGAUUGCGAUAAACCUGACUCCCAAUUCCAGCCAAGCGUGCCUCAAGGCCAUCCACCAAGUAAAAUGCCAGUCUCUGAGUACAAUCACCAUCUGCUGAGGAGUGUCGUCUUAUCUUCUUUAGGAGGUCAUUGGCCAACAGGUGGUUGUCUUUUGCCACAGCUUCUGCGCAAUGGAUGAGGAGAGUCCUGAGAUCAACCAACUCUUUCCUCGGUUGCUUCCUAACCCAUAGCUUCUGACGCCCUUUCCUCCGGCUUUUCAGUGAGUUUUUGUUUCCUUCCCCCGCCAUCCUUUCUCGCAGUCUUGUUAUUCCAUCGAAACUCUUCUGGCCAUAGCAUAGCAGAACUCGGUCGAAAUUUUCAUUUCGAAUUAUUGCACAAGUGGUGAUGGCAUGAUGUUUAUUGCUCCUUCCUUGAAAGGUAUCCCAGCCCCUUUGGUCCGCCACCUCAAAGAUUGUGUUUUCGCUCAUUUCUCCUACAUUUGCCUUUGUAGUCAGUUGGGAAAUAUAAAGUAUGUCGUUCUUUAAAUAUAUCACCAUCUUAACAAUACUUGCAGCAAACAUCUUUUCCUCCUCGACACCUCUUUGACAAUGCAAGGCAGGGAAGCCAGAUCCGGAAGUCCAUCCAACACUUGUCAACGGCUGGUUUGGUAGAAAAAGACUCCUAUUAUAGAUAUAUGAACUCAACGGGGUUGCUAAGGGCUGUAACACAUUGUAACUGGAAUAGUCAUUACUGAAGCUAGUGCUCCAGAGCCUCUUGUAACGGCUGGUCCCACUCUUAUCAGAGUCGUCUGGUUUGUUGUUGGUAUGCAAUGGCGGCCAGUUAGUAGCCGAUGCACAUACCUCCCCAAGAAUGUCACGGAAUGGCUUCUCAGCAUCCUGGAGAGCAGCCUCUCCUUGGCAUAUGUCGACCCUCUCGUCGACGUCUUCCAUCAGCAUCUGGCUUAUGUAGUGAAGAGCAUCGUUUGAUCUGAUCUGGCGGUGCUCAGGGCUACCCCCUGGAGAAAUCUGAAAUUGGUUUUGUCCAAUGCUGCUUUUGUUACUGCACAACCCAGGGUCAGUGACUCCACCAAGCAGAUCUGUGCUUUCUUCGUUUGCUGGGGAAAGAACUGUGGACUGUGGACCACUCAGGUCGUAGUUGUACACGGUGAGUUGCUGCUCGGAAGAGGAAUCACUUUCGUCGGUUGCUGCGACAUUGUCCAGAUUGUCAUGGAGAGGUUCAGUCGCCAUCGUGGAAAGUCUGCUUUCCACCUCAAUAUGAGAUAUAUGGUUCUUUGUCUUAGCAAAUGAAUCAGCUUGUUUCCUGGAAGAAGAAAAAGGGGAAAUGGAAGCUAAAUUAUUUGGUUCACCUAGCAAAUGUGCUACAAUCUAGAAUGGCCAUAAAACGGAAUUCUGGUCAGCGAGCUCCUUUUUUUUCCUUCACUUUCUGCUUCUUCCUUUUUACUGGAGAUUCAGCUUGAAAAUAAUAAUUUAUGAUGGCUUGCACACAUGAGAACAACUAUUUUAGCCGGUUAAACACAGAAUGUUUCAGCAUCAACAACAGAAACAGAACACCUAAAGCGAUUUUGUAUCUAUGACGCGCCUAAUACCACUGUUCUUUUUUUUUUUGCAGGAGGCUCCCAUCUGAUCUGAGCAAGUAGCAAAGGUAGGGAAGCACACACCUUGGUUAUUGAGCAGCAGCAUCAGAUCCAAUGCUUUGAGAGAAUGGUUGUUCCAUCAGAUUGAAUGCUUUGAGAGAAUGGUUUUUCCUCAGCAGAUCCAAUGGUUGUGGUGGUGUGUACUAAGUUUGUUGUUCCUCUUGUUCCUUGUGGCUUUGUUCCCAACGUCAGCCAUGGUGAUUGUGACACAGAAUGAGUCCAGAUUACAAGCAAUUAUCCUGUCGAUUAGUUCUAGGCCCGGCUGUGUAUCAGAGGCAUAAAAAAGUGUUUAUUAGGAACGCUUGCCUGGGCUUCAACAUUAUUAAAGUUCCUAAUUGAAUAGUUAAAACAAAUCUGAGGUAAUCGAAAAAAAGGAGAUGCACUAUUCAAAGAAAAUUUUCUUUCUUUUCCACUUGAUUUUUGAUAUAUAUAAUGGUUUUGAUUGAUUUUUUCGAGGAUAGUUUGUUGUGCUCUAUCUCAAUAAAAAAAAUUGAUUUUUUUGCCGUGAUUAUUAUAGUUCACAAUUGAAUUGUCGGUGUCUAGCUAGUCUGAUGAGAUUUUCACUUGUGUAGUUCUGUCCUGAAGUAUUUGUACCAAAUGUUUAAUUACUGUAACUGCCUUUGAAUUUUAUUUACAACUUCGACAGCAGUGUUAGUUAUCAGGUCAUGAAAAUGCACAUCCAAAUUCUAUUUAUACUGCUAGAAGAACAGGUAAAAAACAAGAGAAAACUAAUUUAGAAGAAUAUAAAACAAAAUCUGUUAAAAGUUCUGUUGUAAUUGAAAAAGGAGGCACUAUAUAAAGGAAAAUUUAUUUUUUUUCUUCAUUUAUUAGUUGAUAUGUAUAAUGGUUGAAUUUUUGGAGGGUAGUUUGUUGUACUUUAUCUCAUUAAACCAUCAGAUUUUUUGUUGUACUCCCUCUCUCCUGAAUUACCAUUUUUUGUGAGAAAAACUUCAGAUCUAUUCAUCUUUAAUAAUGGCAGUACAAUGAAUACUAGAAAUAAUAAAAAUUACAUCCAGAUCUGUAGACCACCUAGCGACGACUACAAGCACUGAAGCGAGCCGAAGGCGCGUCACUAUCAUCGCCCCUCCCUCACUGGAGCCGGGCAAACCUUGUUGUACUAGACAGUCGAGAAGUCGUCGUGCUAAAGCCCCAUAGAACCAACACACCAGAAUAGCAAUCGCCGCCGAUGAAGAGUGUAGAUCAGAAGGAUCCAAUCUGAAGACACAAGAACAUAGACGAACAGUGAACAUAUCCGAGCAAAUCCACCAAAGACAGAUUUGUCGGAGACACACCUCCACACGCGCACCGACAAUGGUAGACGCAUCAACAGAACGGGGACUAGGCGGGGAGACAAUUAUUCCAUCCUCAGGGAGCCGUCGCCGUCUUGCCUUCCAGAGCAGGACACAAACCCUAACAAAACUCAAAAAAAUCUAAAAAUGGAGCCCUCCCACGGGCAAGGGCCGGGAUCCACUCCGCCCCCAUGGCCCUAAGGCAGAAGAACCCUAGCUUUUUUGGGGAGGCGGCGGCUGGCUAGGUCGUCUCUCUCUCCCGAAUUACUUGUCGCUCAAAUUGAUGUAUCUAGCACUAACUUAGUGCGGGAUGGAGGGAGUAGUUAUUUUCUAUGUUUUGAGAUAAAACUUUUUUGACAUGUCUUCAUAGUAUAAAGAUUUGAGACGGAAAUCCGUUCGUGCUCCCGAGAGCGCGCGCCCUUACAUGCGAGAAAAAACUUUUCGAAGUGUGAAAAAAUUCCAAACAAAAAUUUGGCGCAUACAUCUCGAUAUUAUAUGCGUGCCCGUCAAGUUUCGGAGAAAACCGACAUUUUUUGUGGCUUGUGUAAAAGAGACAAAAUGAUGUAUUGUGAAAAGCAUUUUUUAACAUCGGAUUUUGUCUUUUUCACAUACGACACAUAAGUUUUCAGUCGCGAAACGAUUUUUUGAGCAUGUACAAUAUCGAGUUGUACGUGUCAAGUUUUUGUUUGGAUUUUAUUGACAUUUUAAAAUAAUGUUUAAAACACAUUUUAAAACCAUCCCGCAAAAAAAACACAUUUUAAAACCAGGAGUGUGUGCUCCCAUGUGUCAAAACACCACUCUCGAUUUGAGAUUGAUAUACACAGCAGAAAAAAAAUAGUGUUAUUUACCCUAAAGACGACUCAGGCACUCAGCACAGUUAUUAAAACACCACUCAGCACAGGGCCCAGGAUCAGUUAAAACACGACUCAGCAGUUCAGCAGGUGCGUAAUCGCUCUCCGAAGGCGGAAAACGUCUCCUCUCUCUCCUUCUCUUCGGUUCUCCUCCGCGACCUCUCUCUCCAUGGCCGCCAAGAGGAACCUCGGCAGGUCGGCGGCGGCCCAGUAAAUGGAUCAAAAUGAUAACCAAGUACACAUAGUUAAUAUUCGUUUAAAAACACCAGACUCACUUAUAGAGCAAAUUUCUAUAACAGUUUGUUCAGAAAUUAAAAAGAACACACAAGGUACUAUUUUACAGUCGCCUUCUAUUUAUUUCCAACAUAUGGUAGUGCAUGGUGCGCAGUUGGACCAAAUAAAAACAUGUUGAGUAUAAACAUUCGAAUCUCCAUCACAUCUCCUUCCAAGAUAGGUUUCCCAUGCUCAUCUCUGAUGAAAGAAUGUCUUACCGUCUUCAGCAUUUUAGAUCCACUGUGUUGAGAACCAUGCAAGGAAGUUGUCUCCGCAGCCUGCAAAACUGUUCGGAUCUUACUGGUCACCAUGCAUUUCAUCAGGUUUCCAUUUGGAUAUAGCAUAAAUUACUCUCCCUUUCCAUCCUUGUAGCAGCCAGCCGCAGUCUUCAACAGCAAAGAAUUCGUCAUGAUAGUGUAGGUUCUUCAUGUGUACUAUGUUCUUUAAGAUGGCUUGACCAACAGGAAGCUGCUCAGCCUUGAGGCACCUUGCUUGCCACUGCCUGUAACUUUCUGGCCUCUGAGUCCUUUCUGCAUCCUCACAUGCUAUUAUGUUAAGUGCAUCCUGCCCAAAUGGGGUCCUCUCAAUCAUCUUUCUUGCUUCAUUAUCCAGUGGAACAUUUGCAUCAAGCAUGUCAAACAGUGAAGAGUAAUGGAGCAUAGCCUCUUUGAAUAGUUGUAUGAAGAAGGGAGAAUUAUUUAACCCAUUCACAGUGCCAGAAAUGAAAACCUUUGGGUUCAUCCUCCUCAUAGUUUUCAGCACCUCAUCUCUUGCACUAUAUAUGCCAUCGGUUUCAUGACCAGGCUUCUUCAUCCGGAAUAUGCAGUUAAUUAUGAGAACUUCAUCCUCGUCAAUGUUAAUAUCGUCAAUUUUAAUGGUGUCCCAUCUUGAAGUGGCAAUGCCCUGAUACUGAAAAGGUACCUUGAACAUGUUUGCAUAAUCAGCUAACCGCUUCCCUGUCUCCUCGAUCAUUUCGCAGGGGCGGAAACCUGGCUGGCAAACGUCUAUACCUGUGAUCCGAAGCUUAGGGGCUCCCUCUUCUUGCUGUGCAAAUCUCUGAAUCAUUAGUGGCCACUGAAAGCCAAAGUCGAUGCCAAAAUCAACAAUGUGCACCCUUGGUUGCCCUUUUGAGACAUCAAGAAUAGCUUGGCUGGCAAAGUAGUAUGACGUCUUGACAAAAGGGCAAGAUGCAAUAAAAACGCUGUAAGCCUCUAACCAUUAUGUGGUACUUGUUCGCCUCCCCAUGAGGUUGCGAUAAACCUGACCCCCGAUCCCAGCCAAACGUGCCUCAAGGCCAUCCGCCAAGUAAAAUGCCAGUCUCUGAGUACAAUCACCAUCUGCUGAGGAGUGUUGUCUUAUCUUCUUUAGGACUUCGCUGGCAAACAGGUGGUUUUCUAAUGCUAUAGCUUGUGCGCAAUGGACGAGGAGAGCCCUGAGAUCAACCAACUCUUUCUUUGGUUGCUUGCUCUACCAUAGCUUCUGACGUCCUUUGCUCCGGCCUUCCAGUGAGUUAUUGUUUCCUUUCUCCGCCAUCGUUUCUUGUGGUCUUGUUGUCUGGUCGGAAGUCUUCCAACCAUGGUAUAGCAGAACUCCGUCAAAAUUUUCAUUUCGAAUUAUUGCACAAGUGGUGAUGGCAUGGUGUUUAUGGCCCAUUCCUUGCAAGAUAUCCCGCUCCCUUUGGUCUGCCAGCGCAAAGAUUGCGUUUUCGCUUCUCUCUCCUGUUUUUUGCCUUUGUAGUUAGUUGCGAAAUAGAAAGUAUGCCAUUCUCUAAAUAUAUCACCAGUUUAUGAAUACUUGGAGCAAACAUCGUUGCCUCCCCGAUGCCUCUUCUCUGACAAUCCAAGGUGGGGAAACCAGAUCCAGAAGCCUGUCCAACACUUGUCAACGGAUGGUUUGGUAGAGAAAGGCUCGUAUUGCAGAUGUAUGGACUCAACGGGGUGGUUAAGGGCCGUAACACGCUGUAACCGGAACAGUAAUUACUGAAGCUAUUGCUCCAGAGCCUCCUGUGACAGCUGCUGCCACUCUUAUCAGAGAUACCUGUUUCGUUGUUGCUAUGCAAUGGCGGCCAGUAAGUGGUCGGCGUGUAUACCGGCCCAAGAAUGUCACGGAACGGCUUCUCAGCAGCCUCCCCUUGGCAUAUGUCGACCCUCUCGUCGACAUCUUCCAUCAGCAUCUUGCUUAUGUAGUGAAGAGCAUCGUUUGAUCUCAUCCGGUGAUGUUCCGCAGCGAUUUGAAUUUGGUUCUGUCCAAGGCUGCUGUUGACAUUGCACAACCCAGGGCCAGUGUCUGCACGAUGCAGAUAUGUUCUUGCUCCAGUGGUUGGCUGGGGAAAGAAGUGCGGACCUCUCAGCUUGUAAUUGUACAUGGUGAGUUGCUGCUGGAAAGAGGAAUCACCAUCGUAUGGUUCGUCGGUUGCUGUGACGGUGCCCAGAUUGUCACGAAGAGAUUCAAUCGCCAUUGUGGAAAGUCUCUUUUCCACCUCAAUUCGAGAUAAGUAAAUCUUCUUCGUCCCACAGCAAAUGAAUCAGCUUCUUUCCUGGAAGAAGAAAGGGAGGAAAUGGAAGCUUAAUUAUGUGAGAUGAAUUUCGGUUCGCCUUGCUCAUGUGCUACAAUCUACAAUGUCUGUGAAACGGAUUUCUGCCCAGCGAGCUCCCUUUUUUUUUCCUUCACCUUAUGCUUCUUCCUUUUUAUUAGAGAUUCAGCUUAUGAUUGUUUUGGCAUGCCAUACUGAUCGCAAACUAAUUCCAAAGGCUUGCAGACACGAGAAUAACUACUUUACCCGGUUAAAUAUAUAAUCUAUGACGCGCUUAAUACCACUGCUCAGUUUUAUCUGCAGGAGGCUUCGCAAGUAGCAAAAGUAGGGAAUCACACACCUUGGUUAUUUAGCAGCAGCAGCAGCAGCAGAUCCAGUGCUCUGAGAAGAGUAGUGGGGAUGUGGGCUAUGAAAGAAUAGUAGUGAGCUUGUGGUGUUGAUGUGAACUAAAUUUGCCGUUCCUCUACCUUAUGGCUUUGUUCCCAACGUCAUAAGAUUGUGACAGAGAAUGGUCCAGAGUACAAGCAACUAUCCUGUCGAUUAGUUCUAGGCCCGGCUGCGCAUCAGAGGUAUAAAAAAGUGUUUAUUAGGAACGCUUUCCUGGGUAUCAACAUUAUUAGGGUCCCUAAUUGAUUCGUUAAAAAAUUCCAAGGUAAUCGAAAGGAGAUGCACUAUUUGAAGAAAAUUUUCUUUCUUUCCCAGUUGAUAGUUGAUAUAUUCUGAGAUGCACUAGUUUAUAUAUAUAUAUAUAUAUAUAUAUAUAUAUAUAUAUAUAUAUAUAUGGUCGAAUUUUUCGAGGAUAGUUUGUUGUACUUCAUCUCAGUAAAAUAAUCAGAUUUUUUUUGGUUAUCUUAUUAGUUCAAAGUUGAAUUGUUGGUGCCUAGCUAGUCUGAGACUUAUGUUCUUCGGUACCUGGAGUAUUUUACCAAGGCUUGAGUGAUACAUUUGUACUAGGUUAUUAUAUAUAAUGGUCUUGGUCGAAUUUUUCGAGGAUAGUUUGUUGUACUUCAUCUCAGUAAAAUAAUCAGAUUUUUUUUAUUAUCUUAUUAGUUCAAAGUUGAAUUGUUGGUGCCUAGCUAGUCUGACACUUAUGUUCUGCCGUACCUGGAGUAUUUUACCAAGGCUUGAGUGAUACAGUUGUACCAAAUGUUUAAGGAGUGUAAAUGCCUCUGAAUUUUAUUUACAACAUCGGCAGGAUUGUUAGUUAUUAUGUCAUGAAAAUGCACAUCCAGAUUCAAUCUGUAAUACUAGAAGAACAGGCCAAAAUAAAUACUAGAAGAAAAUAAAACAAAAAUCUGUUAAAAUUUGGAUGUAAUUGAUAGAAAAAAGGAGGCACUAUUCAAAAAACUUGUAUUUUUUUCAUUUGGUAGUUGAUAUAUAUAAUGGUUGAAUUUUUGGGGUGUAGUUUGUUGUACUUUAGUAUCUCAUUAAACCAUCAGUUUUUUCUGUAAUUAUUUUCUUUGUGUUUCGAGAUUGGUAUAGUGGUAUCCUAUAAAGGCUUUGAGAUUGGUCACGUAUAUGUGAUAUAUUAGACGUGUUCGCGGCCAUUAGUAACUAAUAGAUUUCACCUUCUUGUCAUUUGGAGGGCUCCAUCAACAUCAACAACAUUAAUUAGUUUGAUAAAUUACAUCUUGGCAUUUAAAGGGCUCUGUCAAACAUUGGUGGGCUAGUAGAACCAGCAUGAAUAUUCCAUAUAGAAAAGCUAUGGCCUCGCCCGCUUCCGGCACAAAAGUGUGCUGCCCCCAAUAGUCCUCAACAUCAUCGCGGAGGAGGCCCAGCUAUGGGUUACCAUGGGUGCAAAGAAGCAUGGGAAAAUUGUAUUGCACGAGAAAUUGUCAUGCGGUGUUGUAAGGGAUGAUUGUAAAACUCUAUUCUCAGACAAAUAUUUUGCCCCCAUUUUAAAAAUAUAUAUAGAUCACACAACAAAAGAACAAAUGUUGUUUACCUUGAAGAAAAUUACAGAAAUGGACAGGCAGUGUUUGUACUUUCUUUGAUUUCGAAGAGAUAAGCAUCAUUAUUAUUUUUUGUGUGUGAGAAAGGAAAGAUAAUAUUAUUUUUUAUUAGGCUGUGCAUGAGUUUGUUCUUUUUCUCGAAUCAAUAACUCGGGUAAGACUAUGAAAAUACAUCACACACUGUGAAAAUAGAAACUGGUUUGAUAAGAUAGACACCUAAUUGAACCUUAAAUUUGAUUUCCGAUGGGAUGGAGGUACCACCAUCUUCACUAAUUAACUACCUAUUUUUCAGAAACCACUAACUAUAUAGUUUGUGCUUGGUUUUCACCUAGGCUGUGUGAAUGCGACCUUGUAUUGAUGCCUAUGUCACCAACCAUUGUAACUUGCUCAUCUAAUAAUAUAUAAAACUCUCAUCUUGUUCAUCAUAUUCCGUUUAGGGGUCAUUCACAUUUUUUUUAAUUUUCUUAAGAAAUUAGGCAGUUUUCAAUUAAGUUUAACUAGAUUAGCAUCAUUACAAGAUUACUGAUAUAGUGUUGCCAUGGCUUCUGCAAUGACAGCUCCUGGUCUAGAUAUGGAGGCCUUGACCGGGCGACGGGGGAGGACCCUCGGGUUGGGCCGGCCACCUUAGAGCAACUCUAGCAGACCCCGCAAAACGCCGGCCCGCAAAACGCGUUUGCAGUUCGCGUAAAACAGCUUUUGCGGACGGCGCGGGCUGGCAUAGAUGCAGACCCCCCAAACGGAUCCGUAAAAAAGUAUAUUCGCGGAAUAUGCUUUUUUAUGGGUCGGCUAUGCGGGUUCUGCUCUUUGCGCCGCUGCAUCCCCGCAUAUCAUCAGCCCGCAAAUAUCAAAUCCAACAUAAUUCAACAAUCGAAAACAAACUGAAUUAUUCAAAUCAAAUAUAAAACAAUAAUCAUCCGCAUUACAAAUAAUUAUUCAAAUCACCGUAGCAAACUUAAAAUAAUGCAAUACAAAACUUGUCAUGAAUACAAAUACAAAUGAAUACAAAAAUUAGUCACUGUCCAGCCCUUUGUCAAUGGUGCUCAAUGAGAACUUCCUGAAGCUGAAAGUGUGUGUUUGCAUUUUCAAUCUCCUUGUAUGAAUGAAGAAAAGCUCUAAUGCGGUUUGGGUCUCUAGUUGGUUUGACACGGCUACCCACAUUGUCGUAAAAGUUCUAAGUCCAUUCCUCUCUCAUCUUUAAGAAUCAUAUUGUGCAGGAUAACACAGCAAGUAAUGAUGUUCUUCAGGGUUUUCUUAUCCCAAAAACGAGCAGGACCACGGACAAUGGCAAACCUAGAUUGCAAAACACCGAAUGCUCUUUCAAUGUCUUUUCGGGCUGCCUCUUGCACCCUUGCAAAUUCACAUUGUUUUUUUGUUUUGGGUUCUUUGAUGCUCUCGACAAAUGUGCACCAAGGAGGAUAUGUACCAUCUGCAAGAUAGUACUCCUUUGUGUAUUCAUGCCCAUUGAUAGUGUAGUUGCAAGCAGGAGCAUCACCACUAGCAAGCCUAGCAAACAAAUGAGAGUGUUGCAACACAUUGAUAUCAUUGAGUGUGCCGGGCAUACCAAAAAAGCAAUGCCAAAUCCAUAAAUCCUCGGAUGCUACGGCCUCUAGCACAAUUGUUGCAUCACGAGACUUGCCACAAUACAUUCCUUGCCAAGCCUUGGGGCAAUUUUUCCAAUUCCAAUGCAUACAAUCAAUGCUACCUAGCAUCCCAGGCCAACCUCUCAUCUCAUUAGCUGCCAUCAAUUUCUUUGUGUCAUCUUCAUUUGGUGCCCGAAGAUACUCGGGACCAAAGACACGGACGAUCACUUUCGCAAAUCUACAUACAGACUCAAUUGUGCUAUCUUCACCAAUGCGAAGAUACUUAUCGGCAUAGUCAGCCGGAAUGCCAUAUGCAAUCACCCGCAUAGCCGCGGAGAUUUUUUGAUAUGCACUAAAUCCCUUUAAGCCCGCGGCAUUCCUUCUUUGAGUGAAAUACCGGCAAUUUGCCUCGCAAGCUUCACAAUUUUCACAAAAAGGGAUCGGCGCAUUCGGUACCUUCUGCGGAAGAGGUGUGCAGGAUAUGUAGGAUUCUCCGAAAAACAAUCGUGCAUCAACAUCUCGUUUCCAAGAUGGCGAUUCCGCGGAAUGCACAGACGCCCGACAGUAGAUCCUCGCCUCCUCUUUCGGUACUCGUCUUCAUGCUCCUUCACGGCAAGCGCCAUGACCAAUGUUUGCUACCGAAAGGUCGCAAGCAUGGUCUCCACAUCCGAGUCGUCCGAAUCGGACGAAUCGGAUAGCAAGAACUUCUCGCACUGGGUCAACUCCAUCUACACGCACACCGGCGCGUCAAUCUACUACACAGCUCGCAAAAAUCAGAAAAAAGGGACUAACCGGUGGCAAGUGAUCCCGGGCGGCGACGAGGGUGGUGCGCUCGACGGUGGUCGAUCCCAGCGGCGGCAGUGACUGGGGGGCGGCUCUUCUUGCCGGAUCCGGAGGGGCGGUGCAGCGGCUCGGCGCGGGAGGGUGUGGGGCGGCCCCGCGGAGCGAUUCCGCCCGCGGAUAUGGCCGGAAUCACCGGCGGCGGGCGGACGGAAGCAAGGGCGGGCGGCGGCGGAAGGAGGGGGAAAAGAGCGCGGGCUGAAAUGUCCCUCCCACCAACUGCUUCUCUGUGAUGCAGGGCACUGCAGCCGCGAGGGGGAAACCCGCGUUUUCCCGGGUUGGGGUCGGGAAUUUGCCGCGCCCCCUAAAAUUUUUUGCGGGCCGGGGCGGGAUGCGGGGUCUGGUCGGGCAGGCUUUCCGGCCCGUACCAGCAUUUUGGCGGUUAUUUUACGGAUCGGCAGGGAGUUUCUUGAACUAGAUGAUAUCUCGCGUUGCCAUGGAAUGAAAUAUACAAUUUUGUAAAUAUUGUGUAGAAUAUUAAUUUUGUCCUUACGAUUUAAACUAGUAUGUGAUAAAUUUCUACAUCCGCAAGAAAUUCUUAACAGGAAAAGUUGUGCAUGUCACAAUUAAAUGUAGGUGCAUUUAAAACUCAAUUAGAAUGCACUCAUGCAUGACAUGAUAGAGGAUUCUCAUGCAUAGAUCGAAGGGAUGCUAGUGGAUCAAGUUAGUAAAUCUAAUGCUUAUCACAAUUUUUAUAUUGUGGAAGCACACAUUGCUGAGAUAAUUAGAAGCUUUUGCUAUCACUCACUGUGUGUGUGUUUUUGAGUUAUCAGCUUUUUCUAUCACUCCCAGUUUUUUUUAGGGGAUCACUCUCAGUUAUAUCAGGUGAAGGCUAACGUGACACAGCCCAGGGCCCAGGCCCAGUUAGAACACGACUCAGCAGUUCAGAAAGUGCGUAAACGCUCUCCGAAGGCGGAAAACGCCUCCUAUCUCCUCUCCUCCGCGACCUCUCUCUCCAUGGCCGCCAAGAGGAAGCUCCGCAGGUCGUCGGCGGUGGCUGCUCCAACAGCGCCGAAGGCGAAGGAAGACGAAGCGGAGAGGCUGUUCUCCUCGCGCCCCUUCGCCGACCUCGCCCUCCACCCCACCCCCUACGCACGCCCCCAAGGUCUCUCCCUCCCCCCUCUCCGAUUCCCCGUAUCUCUGUGGCCCUAGUGAUUUGGUAGUCCCCUCGGGAACCAGGAGCUCGCGUCUUUUUUGAGAAAAAUCUGUACAUAUGGUUUUUCAAAUUUCUAAUCCGGAUGGUUAAGAUUAUGCUCCUAGUUUAAAAUUUUAAAAGUUUUGACUGAAGACACGUCCAGAACGUCACUUAGAUGUGAUAUGGAGAGAGUAAUAUGUGAACAUUAGUGCAUUCUAUUGGAUUCUUUCAUAGGAACCUUGUUUAUAUUAAUACAAGUGCAAUUGCUUCAAAUCAGAAAUGAGAAUCCUCUGAUCUUCCAUAUCGCCAGUUUUGAAAUAUUCUACUGUAAUUUACAGCAAAUCCAGUGCCCAGGUAUGGUAGUAUUUCCACUAGUCUCAUGUCUUGUAGGCCCUACACACAGACCAAAACAAUAACCAAGUACACAUAGUUAAAAGAACACCAGCUUCACUUACAGAGCACUUCCCAGACCACUUUGUUCAAAAAUUAAAUAGAGCGGCAGAAGCAAAGCAUUGCACAGUUGCCUUUUGCUACAUAUGGCCGUGAAGUUGCGCAGUUGGACCAAAUCAAAGCAUGUUAAAUAUCAGCACUCAAAUCACCAUCCCAUCUUAUUCCAAGAUAUACUAGCAUAAAGUACUGUUAUGUUGAGAAUCGUGCAAGCAGCUACAGAGGCGGUAAGUUGCCGAUAUGUUUAUGCACUUGAUAAACUGUUCGAAUCUUACUGACCAUCAUAUUUUUCAUCAGGUUUCCAUUUAGAUAUAGCAUACAUCACUCUCCCUUUCCAUCCUUGUAGCAGCCAGCCGCAAUCUUCGACAGAGAAGAAUUCUUCAUGAUAAUGUAAGUUCUUCAUGUGUACUAUGUUCUUUAAGAUGGCUUGAUCGACAGGAAGCUGCUGAAACCCUGCCUUGAGGCACCUUGCUUGCCACUGCCUGUAACUUUCUGGCCUCUGAGUCCUUUCUGCAUCCUCACAUGCUAUUAUGUUAAGGGCAUCCCGCCCAAAUGGGAUCCUCUCAAGCAUCUUUCUUGCCUCAUUAUCCCAUGGAACAUUUGCAUCCAGCAUGUCAAACACUGAAGAGUAAUGGAGCAUAACUUCUUUGAAUCGUUGUAUGAAGAAGGGAGAACUAUGUAACACGUUCACAGUGCCAGAAAUAAAAACCUUUGGGUUCAUCCUCCUCAUAGUUUUCAGCACCUCGUCCCUUGCACUAUUUAUGCCAUCGGUUUCAUGACCAAGAUUCUUCAUCCGGAAUAUGCAGUUGAUUAUGAGAACUUCAUCCUCAUCAAUGUUAAGAUCCUCAAUUUUAAUGGUGUCCCAUCUUGCAGCGGCAAUGCCCUGAUACUGAAAAGGUACCUUGAACAUGUUUGCAUAAUCAGCCAACCGUUUCCCUGUCUCCUCGAUCAUUUCGCAGGGGCGAAAACCUGGCUGAGAAACGUCUAUACCUGUGAUCCGAAGCUUGGGGGCUCCCUCUUCUUGCUGUGCAAACUUCUGAAUCAUUAAUGGCCACUGAAAGCCAUAGCCGAUGCCAAAAUCAAUGAUGUGCACCCUUUGUUGCCCUUUUGAGACAUCAAGAAUAGCUUGGCUCGCAAAGUAGUAUGACGUCCUGACAAAAGGGCAAGCUGCAACAAAAAGGCUGUAAGCCUCUAACCAAUCUGUGGGACUUGUUCGCCUCUCGAUGAGGGUGCGAUAAACCUGACUCCCGCUCCCAGCCAAGCGUGCCUCAAGGCCAUCCGCCAAGUAAAAUGCCAGUCUCUCAGUGCAAUCACCAUCUGCUGAAGAGUGUUGUCUUAUCUUCAAUAGCAGUUCACUGGCCAACAGGUAGCUGUCUUCUGCCACAGCUUGUGCGCAAUGGAUAAGGAGAGUCCUGAGAUCAACCAACUCUUUCCUCGGUUGCAUCCUAGCCCUUAGCUUCUGACGUCCUUUGCUCCGGCCUUUCACUGAGUUAUUAUUUCCUUUCUCCGCCAUCGUUUCUUGUAGUCUUGUUGUUUGGUCGAAAGUCUUCCGACCAUAGCAUAGCAGAACUCGGUCGAAAUUUUCAUUUCGAGUUAUUGCACAAGUGGUGAAGACAAGAUGUUUGUUGCUCCUUGCUUCCAAGAUAUCCCAGUUUUCGCUCCUCUGGCCUACUGUCUCCUUUAUAGUCAGUUUGGAAAUAGAAAGUAUGUCAUUCUCUAAAUAUAUCACCAGCUUACCAAUACGUGGAGCAAACAUUGUUGCCUCCUCGACAUCUCUCUGACAAUGGAAGGCAGGGAAACUAGAUCUAGAAGUCGGUCCAACACUUAUCGACGGACUGUUUAGAGAAAGACUCCUAUUGCAGGUAUAUGGACUCAACAGGUUUGUUAAGGGCUGUAACACGCUGUAACUGGAACAGUUAUUACUGAAGCUUGUGCUCCAGAGCCUCUUGUAACUGCUGGUACCACUCUUAUCAGGGUUUUCUGGUUUGUUGUUGCUAUGCAUUGGCGGACAGUUAGUAGCUGGCGCGUAUACCUCCCCAAGAAUGUCACGGAAUGGCUUCUCAGCAGCCUGGAGAGCAGCCUCCCCUUGGCAUAUGUCGACCCUCUCGUCGACGUCAUCCAUCAGCAUGUGGCUUAUGUAGUGAAGGGCAUCAUUUGAUCUGAUCCGGCGGUGCUCAGGGCUGCCCCCUGUAGCAAUCUGAAAUUGGGUUUGUCCAAGGCUGCUGUUGACCCUGCACAACCCAGGGCUGGUGACUCCACCAAGCACACAUGUGCUUUCUUGGUUGGCUGGGGAAAGAACUGUGGAGUGUGGAUCUCUCAGGUCAUAGUUGUAGACGGCGAGUUGCUGCUGGGAAGAGGAAUCACCGUCGUAUGGUUGGUCGGUUGCUGCGACGGUGUCCAGAUUGUCACGGAGAGGUUCAGUUGCCAUUGUGGAAAGUCUGAUUUCCACCACAAUAUGAGAUAUAUGAUGCUUCUUUGCCCCACAGCAAAUGAAUCAGCUUGUUUCCUGGACGAAGAAAAAAGGGAAAUGGAAACUUAUGUAUGUGAGACGAAUUUCCGUAAAAUGGAGUUCUGCUCAGCGAGCUCCUUUUUUCCCCCUCACCCUCUGCUUCUUCCUUUUUAUUAGAUAUUCAACUUAGGAUUGUUUUAGCAUUCCAUGCUAAUUGAAAAAAAUAAAUCUGAAGGCUUGCAGACACCAGAAUACCUAUUUUAGAUGCUGAUUGAAUUAUCAUGCCUAAAGCGAUUUUGAAUCUACGAUACGCCUGAUACCACUGUUCCUUUUUAUUUGCAGGAGGCUGCUCAUCUGAUCUAAGCAAGUAGCAAAAGUAGGAAAGCACGCACCUUGGUUACUGAGCAGCAUCAUCAGCAUCAGAUCCAAUGCUUAGAGAGAAGAGUAACGAGGAUGUGGACUAUGGAAGAAGAGUAGUGAGGUUGUGCUGUUGAUGUGAGCUAAAUUUGUCGUUCCUCUACCUUAUGGCUUAGUUCCCAAUGUCAUGAGAUUGUGACGUUGAAUGGUUCAGGUUACAAGCAAUUAUUCGGUCGAUUAGUUCUAGGCCCGGCCGCGCACCAGACCUAUAAAAAAGGGUUUAUUAGGAGCGCUGGCCUGGGCUUCAGUCAUUAUUAAGGUCCCUACUUGAACUGUUAAAAAAAGCAGAUGCACUGUUCAAAGAAAUUUGUCCUUCUUUUCCACUUGAUGUAUAUCAUGAAUAGCAUUUAGCUGGUAUUCAAAGAAAAAAGAGGGCACUAUUAAAGAAACUUGUAUUGUUUUUCAUAUGAUAGUUGAUGUAUGUGAUGGCUGAGUUUUUGGAGGGUAGUUUGUUGUACUUUAUCUCAUUAUACCAUCAGACUUUUUUCGUAACUAUUUUCUCUGCAUUUUGAGAUUGGUAUAGUGGUAUAAAGCUUUGAGAUUAGUUUGUACUAUGUGAUAAAUUAGAUGAGUUACCACCAUCUUCACUAACUACCUAGUUUGUAUUUGGUUUUCGCCUAGGCCCUGCCAAUGCGACUCGUCAAGAGGGGUGGGAGCUCGGAGGUCGGCAUCACCUAGGGAGACUACUCGACGGCGCACUAUGUUUCGCCCUAGGCCAAGAUCGGGAGGGGAGGGGAGGGGCAGGAUGAUGGAUUGAGGAGCGAGGUGCGGGAAGGGUAGCAUCGCCCAGACCCCAGAGUCGUCGCAUAUUUUUAUGAUGGACACGUGGACUGUCCGUCAAGGAAUGAACAAGACGCCUCCAAUUUUGCUCCCAGAGUAACGGGAACGGGACCGGCUUCUAUACCGUGCCGCUGGGCAUGGGAGUGCCGUGCCUUCUUACGCCCAACGUGUGCAUUGAUAUGGGCCAGAAGGGCCUUGAACAUCCAGCCUGGCGCAUCCGACUCCGACGAACAAGAAUAACGGGGACAAUUGAUUUGACAACCAAAAUCAGUGAUGUCGUGAGAGAGCUCCUAUGGUGCACGGUUAUAAUGUUUCUAAAUGUCACCAACUAUUGUAACUUGUUCAACCAACAUAUAGAACUUACACCUUGUUCAUCUAAUUCCAUUUAGGGGGCAUUCAGACACACACAAAAGAUGUCAUUUUGUUAGAAAAUUACGUAGUUUUUGGUUAAGCUUAAUCUAAAUUAGCACCAUUAGAAGAUUCUUGGCAUGCCAAAUAACAUACUAGGAACAUUUAACAUAUAUGCAUACGAGCCAGAGGCACAUGUCAACAGAGAGAGAUUUAGAAGAGACAAGUUAACCGGAAACUCCAUUACGACAGACGUAGUUUCGAAGGCCUGUUCUCCCAGGCGACUGUGAGCAUAGUGCCAGAAAGGGGUCGCUGGAGAAGCAACUCAACACAAGUGUGUGUCCUAUUCUGUGUACCCUAUCGCCUUUGUAUUUCCUCUACCUAGAGAGGAUGCGAGGAGAGUGCAUAGAUGCAACUAUAGGGUCUAACACAUUUUUUGUGGUUGCCUUUGACCACUAGCUAUAGCAACAAUAUAUGAUGUGCAUGUCACAAAAAAAUUUAGCAUUAAAUUCGUAUAUGAAAAUAUUUUCUAAUGAUAUAAUUUUUAUAGCUAUAAUACAUCUCAUAUAUUAUUAAUUUUAUCAAUUGUCAGAGGCAACCUCGAACAACAUAUUAGAUGCUAUAUAUUUGUAUGGAAGUAGUAUUAAAGUUACACAUUAGCCAUGCAAUUCACACUAGUACAAAACAGGGCUUUCGUCAUAGGGCAAUAUUCACAUUAGUCCCGGUUCAGUCACGAACCGGGACUAAUGUGAGUAUUGGUCCCGGUUCGUGCGGCUAAGGCAUUAGUCCCGGUUCACCUGGGCCCUUUAGUCCCGGUUGGUGCCACGAACCGGGACUAAAGGGUGCGAUGCCCAUUAGUACCGGUUGGUGGCACCAACCGGGACUAAAGGUUAGACCUUUAGUCCCGNNNNNNNNNNNNNNNNNNNNNNNNNNNNNNNNNNNNNNNNNNNNNNNNNNNNNNNNNNNNNNNNNNNNNNNNNNNNNNNNNNNNNNNNNNNNNNNNNNNNNNNNNNNNNNNNNNNNNNNNNNNNNNNNNNNNNNNNNNNNNNNNNNNNNNNNNNNNNNNNNNNNNNNNNNNNNNNNNNNNNNNNNNNNNNNNNNNNNNNNNNNNNNNNNNNNNNNNNNNNNNNNNNNNNNNNNNNNNNNNNNNNNNNNNNNNNNNNNNNNNNNNNNNNNNNNNNNNNNNNNNNNNNNNNNNNNNNNNNNNNNNNNNNNNNNNNNNNNNNNNNNNNNNNNNNNNNNNNNNNNNNNNNNNNNNNNNNNNNNNNNNNNNNNNNNNNNNNNNNNNNNNNNNNNNGGACCGCCUUUUCAGUUUUAGAAAAAACAAAAGAAAAUGAUGGAAAUGUCAAAAAAAUAAAGUAAAAUAAGUUUCCCAUGUGAUAUGUGGUCUAGUUGUUGGAAAAAUUUACAAAUAUGAAUUUCGACUUUAUUUGCAAAAUCUCUCUGGAAUUUCUUAAAAUGGCCAUAACUUUUGCAUACGAACUCGGAUGAAAAAGUUUUUUAUAUGAAAAAUCAUCUACUCGAAAAGUUACAUCCAAAUUUAACCGGGGGGAACCCCGUUAAACAUUUUCAAAAUCCUCAAAAACCUAAUAGAAAAAAGUUACGGGGCUUUUAAGAUCUGGAGAGGCACAAAAAUUCAAAAAAAUUCAAAUUGUGGUCAAACUGUGGUCAAACAAUGGUCAAACUAAUUAUUCUAGAAUAUUAGUGUUACUAAAUAAUUAUUUCAGUUUUUUUGAAUUUUGGUCAAUCUGGUCAAACAGUGGUCAAACAAUGGUCAAACUAAUUAUUCCAGAAAUAUUAGUGUUACUAAAUAAUUAUUGUUUUUAAAACAAUAGUUUCAAACUCAAACAGUGAAAUGUGUCACUUCAUGCUCAAGCUAAAUUCCUGAGGGUUAAUAGAAUUGACAUCUUACUAUUGUCAGAAAAACAACAAGUGCUGACUUGGAAACGAGGGAGAAUAGAACCCGGAAGUUAAGCGUGCUCAGGCUGGAGUAGUGAGAGGAUGGGUGACCGCCCGGGAAGUUAGAUGAUUUGGAAUGAUGAGGGGUGAUUAGAGAUUAGAGGAUAAAUUGAGCAGUGAUGAGGGGUGGUGAUUAGAGAUUAGAGGUUAAAAUAACUCAGAAAUUUGAAAAUCAAAAAAAAAUUCGCAAAAAAAAAUUUCAAAAAAAAAUAUCAUAAAAUUGGACUAAAGGGGGGAGGCAUUAGUAACGACCCUUUAGUCCCGGUUCAAAAACCGGGACUAAAGACCCUUACCAAUCGGGACAAAAGCCCCCUUUUCUACUAGUGUCAAAUGGGCUUUUGAGAUUUCAGAAUUCUUCUGGGCUGAGGCACAAGAUUUAAUGGACCGAGGCCCAUGAAAUCUAACCCAAAUAAGGGACAUAGAACAGUAGGGGCUCCGUUUCAAAAAACAGGAACAGUAGGGGCAUCUACGUUCAUACUCCCCAUGCCCCAUAAUAUAGCUACGCAUUGAUUUUCGCGUAAGUCAAGAGUCACAAACUUUGAUCAAAUUUAAAGAGAAAAUUAUCUAUAUCUACAAUACCAAAUAUACAUCAUAUGAAAAUAUAUUUCCUUAUCAAUCUAGUGGUAUUUAUUUAGUAUUCUACAUCUUUGUAAAUUUUCUAAAAACUUGAUCAAAUCUUAUAUUGUUUGACUUUAGGAAAAAAGUCUAUACACACUGUGUUUUGGGAUGGAGGGAGCAUCAUGGAAGUGGGUGUGAUUCUUAUGUUUUCUUUGAGGGGGGCAGGGUCUAUUUUUUCAUGAAUGAGUUCUGGCGUCAUCGGGUGGGCCUAACGUGACACAGCCCAGGGCCCAGGCCCAAUCAAAACAUGACUUGACACUUGAGCAGGUGCGUAAACGCUCUCCGAACUUGGAAAACGCCCCUCUAUCCUUCAUUCACACUGCUUCAAGUGAACCCAAACGUAUGUACACGGCUGUAGGUGAAACCUUCAGCCAUGGCCUAUUUCCUUAUUAGUAUCGUCGUUGUUAUCAUCUCUUCGAUUGAUCAGGGAGGCCGAAACAUUUUGAGACAACAAGUUCUUGAAGAAAUCUCCUUGCCAAGCAACACUUCAUGUGGUACCAUAACCUACGGUCUCUAUGAAAGAAGGCUAUACUUACAUCCCAAACCGGAUCAAAGGAAAUCAAAUUUCUAAAAGCUCACCAAAUAAUUGAACGUUUCGACAAGGAUAUAUUUUUGAAAGUCCACCUACAUUUUUCUGAAACCUAGGCGGAAAAUGUGUUGAAAGUUGUCUUAGUUGGAGGUCAAAAAAUGGAAGUUUUCUAUGUUUAUUUGAAAUUUUAGAAUAUUACCAGAAAGGAAACAUUGGGGAGGGAAGACACCUGCCCGAAAUGAAAAAAAAAUUGAAAAUUACUAGGUGGGCAAUGUGUUCAGAUUUUCAUAGAUGGGUGUACAAAAAUACAAGUUGAUAUAUUAUUGGAAAUUUGAGAAUAUUUCCAAAAAAGGAAAUAUUGGGGAUGAAAGGCACCUGCCCAGAAAACUAAACAGUGUGCACGAAAUGUUGGGGAGAAAAGAAAUACUGCAUGAAUUUGUUGUUGAAAGUUGUCUUAACUGGAAGCCAAAAAAUGAAAAUGUAUAAAUUAUUGUUGAAAUUUGAGAAUAUUUCCAUAAAGGAUAUAUUUUAGUGACGAAAGAUACCUGCUUAGAAACACUAAAUAUUGGGGUGAAAAAAUACUAGGUGAAAAAUGUACUGAUAGUUUUCUAAACUGGAUGUUGUCUACAUUUUGAAUUGAUUUAAUUCGUAUACGAAAAUAGUUUCUAAUGAUAUAAUUUUUAUAGCCACCAACGGCUCAUAUAGUCCCUCCCUCUCUUCAAGUUUAUUGGGCUCAUCUUACAAAUUACAUCAACCAAGAAGGACCUACUUAAGUGUUAUACAACAUAUUAAUACUAUACGCAUGGCCCUCUCACUCCUUCAUGUAUUGGUUUAUUCUAAAUUGAGAAUACAAAUUUGACAAAAUUUAAUGUGUAUAUAGUUAUAUUUGCAUGUUCCCAAGACAAUGAGCCUUACAAAUUGAAAAUUUCUACUUUUGAGGAAAGCUCUCUAAACUGAAAGGGAUGGAGUAUUAUUAAUUUUAUCAAUUGUCAAAGCCAACCUCAAACAACGUAUUAGGCGAUAUAUGUUUGGAUGGAUGGAGUAAUAAACUGCAUGUUGGUUUUCCCGAAAGUCAGGGGUCACAAAUUUUGACAAAGUUUAUAGAGAAAUUGAUCUUUUCUCAACAAAGGGUGGAUUUUAUUGGCUCAAAAUGGAGCAUCAAGAGGAUACACAAAUAAUGAGCACACACCCGGCCUCAGCAUAUUUAGGAUGCACGCAACCAAUACCAACGCGCACACACAAAAACACAGCAAAUAGCAAAGUCAUAUAAGGCCAAAGCUAUGCCUAGGAGAGGCAAAAAGAAAAAUAAUUAAAGUGAUCAGAUUCGUGGUCGAUAAACUACAACAAUGAACAUAUCCACAUAAACCAUCUCAUUGACACGACACAAAAAACGAGAUUCUUCAACAACAACACCUUCAGGAAGGGAGCGAUGCUCAAAAUGUCGCCAUCGCCGGAUCCAACCAUCUAAGGCUGGAAUCUAGAUAUUCACCCCAAAGAGUCAAUCUAAAUAUCUGAGUAAUGCCUUAAACUAGGUAAUGAAGUAAAACAUCACAAUAGCCAAGUAUAACCAACUCGGGUUAGAUUUAGGCUUUCACCCCGGAGCUUGAGACUGGGUACUUGAGUAGCACCAUCAUCAACGACAUUCAAGUGUUGCAGCCACCAUUUUUCCGCAAUCCCAGCAGCAACAAGCGAUGUACCACUACUGGCUGCACAACCAUCCCUCUAUGUCAAGUCAUCGCCCAUAGUUUGCAUGUCACCGCCAAAGUCAACCAUACGAACUGGAGGGAGAAACCCUCAUCAAGACCUUUCGACGGCCACAACAAUCCAUAGCAAGGCCGCCACCAUGGGCCGGAGUGGUUUCGGGCAAAGCCUCCUCAGCUCCAUCCACCAUGAGGGAUUUUUCUAGUGGCACAAAGGCAACAGCAAGAAGAGGGUGCAUGGAGGAGGGCGUUGGUGAAGUCGGCUUGGAGGCACCGCCCGUGUCACCAAGAGCGACGCGGGGGUUGACCCCUUUUUCUGGGCAUCUCCACUAUACGGUUGCAGUAGCGAAGGCCGUGAGCCACAUGCUCGGGCACCUUCGGUGGAUGAACAAUACAAGAGGAGGAAACCGGGAUGAGACUGGGCCUGCCCGGCGGAGACACCAGAUGAGAUCUAUGUCAGAUGGGGUGGGUGAUGGGGCUGAUGCGCCGGAGAGGACCCAUUGCCACCGACCACCGUGAGGGACUUUGCCCAGGUGGCCCUGGCCAGCGGCGAUGAGGGAGGGACAAUACGAGAGGGUACUAGAGAAGGAGUGGCGAUGCCACCACCCGUCUCGACCUCGAGGAUAAUGCGGGGACUAGGUUUCUCAAUGGGGUUACUGAGAGGAGACCUUACAAUUUGGGAGAGAAUUUCACUUCUCCUGGACUCUGCACCAACUAGAGAUAUACACUACCUUUUUAGUAUGAGUAUCAAGAUUUUUAUUAGUAUGAGUAUCAAGAUUUCACUUCUCCUGGACUCUUGCACCACACAUCAAGCAUGGUCCUCAAUAUAUUAUUUUUAUUAGUACAAAGAUUUUAUAUAGAUGAGUGGUCUCACCACAGACCACACAUCAAGUUUGAUUCUCAACAAAUGGGAAAAACCCAUGCGCAUCACCCAUCAAUUAUAGGAAUUGAACCCGGGUCGUUAGCCUGCACAAUCGCAUGCCUAACCACUAAGCUAGUGCUCUCUUGGAAGAGAAAUUGGUCUAUAUCUACAAUAGCAAAUAUACACCAUAAGAAAUAUAUUUCAUGAUGAAUUUAGUUCUAUUGAUUUAGUAUUCUACAUAUUUAUAAUUUUUUGAAAGAUUUGAUCAAAUUUAUCAUCCAACUUUGAAAAAAAAUCAAAUACAUAAUAUAUGUUGAAACAAAGGGGUAUGACAGAAGUGGGUAUGAUUCUUUUGUUUUCUGCGGGGGAAGGGGGAAUGUAUCUCAUACACCGACGCUUGUGGUGCUAUCGGGUGCACCGGAUGCCCGUAGCGCAUUUCAAAAUGUUUGAAAAAUAAUUAGCACAUUCACACAACAUCGGUCUAUGUUUUCAUCAAAUUUAAGCUCGAGGUAUAAAAGUAACAAAUCCGACAAUGAAUAGUACAUGACAUAAGUUGGGCUUUAGAUUUGGCCCGUUAUCACAUUGAUGUUAAAUUUGUCAUUUCUGUAUCCCGUGCAAUGUUUCGAAUUUUAAUAUGAAAUUUUAUGGCAACAUACAUUAAUGUUGUGUCAUUGUGUUAGAUUGUUUUCAGAUUUUUUUCUGAGACAUUUAAAAAUGCGGUAUGGUGUCCGGUCCACGGGUAGCGCCACAAAUGCAGAUGCAACAUUACAUUCCUGUGCCCAGGUGGGCCUAACGUGACACGGCCCAGGGCCCAGAGCCCAGGCCCAGUUAAAACAGGACCCAGGGUAAGUAAAUUCUCUCCGUAUGUCUAAAAAAAAGUAAAUUCUCUCCGUAGGCUGAAAAGAUGCCCAUCUCUCCUCUUGGAUCCUCCGCGACCUCUCUCUCCAUGGCCGCCACGAGGAAGCUCGGCAGGUCGCCGCCGGCGGCGGCGGCGUAGGAGAAGGAAGACGACACGGAGGGGAUCUUCUCUUGGAGCUCCUUGGCCGACCUCGGCCUGCACCACCCCACCGCCUGCGCCCGCCUCCAAGUCCAAGGUCCCUCCCUCCCCCCUCUCUGAUUCCCCGUGUCUCUGUCGCCCUGUUGAUUUCGUAGUGCCCUAGGGAACUAGGAGCUCAGCCCCUAAUCUCGUCCACGUAUUCUUUGUUUUUUUUUCGAGAAAAAAUAGUCUAUGCAUAUGAUUUUCAAAUUUCCAAUCUGAAUGAUUAAAAUGAUAUUCGUGGUUUAAGUAGAAGUUUGACAGAAGACAUGCCCAAAACGUCUCCCACCUAGUUGUGAUAUGCAGAGAGUAAUAAUAUGUCAACAUUAGUGCAUUAUAUUGGAUUCCAGUUUGGAUUAAGUCCGAUUGCCGUCUUCAAAUCAGAAAUGGCAGUCCUCUGAUCUUCCAUAUCGCCGGUUUUGAGACAUAUUCAGCAUAAUGAUUGUAAGACGUGUAGUGUCAAAAAAGGUCUUACAUUAUGGGAUGGAGGGAGUACUUUACAGCAAAUCCAGUGUCUAGGUAUGGCAUCUCCACUAAUCUCAUCAUAUCUAGUUUGUUCAGAAAUUAAAUAGAGCGGCAGAGGUAAAGUUGUACAGUUGCCUUUUGCUACAUAUGGACCAAAUCAAAACAUGUUGAAUAAUAUCAACAUUCGAAUCACCAUCCCACCUUCUUCCAAGCUAGCACUUCCCAAUACUCAUCUGACGAAAGAAUAUCCAUCUUCUGGUGUUCAGCAAUUUAGACCCGUUGUGUUGAGAAUCUAGUAGCUGCACAGGCGUGUGCACUUGAAAAACUGUUUGAAUCUUAUUAUUGAUCAUCAUUAGGUUUCCAUUUAGAUACAGCAUAAAGUACCCUCCCUUUCCAUCCUUGAAGCAGCCAGCCGCAAUCUUCUACAGCAAAGAAUUCCUGAUGAAACAGUAAGUUCUUCCUGUGUACUAUGUUCUUUAAGAUGGCUGGAUCGACAGGAAGCUGCUGGAACCCAGCCUUGAGGCACCUUGCUUGCCACUGCCUGUAUAUUUCUGGCCUCUCAGUUCUUUGUGCACCCUCACAUGCUAUGAUGUUAAGAGCAUCCUGCCCAAACAGGAUCCUCUCAAUCAUCUUUCUUGCUUCAUUAUCCCGUGGAACAUUUGCAUCAAGCAUGUCAAACACUGAAGAGUAAUGGAGCAUAACCUCUUUGAAACGUUGUAUGAAGAAGGGAGAACUGAGUAAACCAUUCACCGUGCCAGAAAUAAAAAUCUUCGGGUCCAUCCUCCUCAUAGUUUUGAGCACCUUAUCCCUUGCACCAUUUACGGCAUCGGUUUCAUGACCGAGAUUCUUCAUCCGGAACAUGCAGUUCACUAUGAGAACUUCAACCUCGUCAAUGUUAAGAUCAUCAAUUUUGAUUGUCUCCCAUCUUGAAGCGGCAAUGCCCUGAUACUGGAAAGGUACCUUGAACCUAUUUGCGUAAUCAGCCAACCGCUUCCCUGUCUCCUCGAUCAUUUUGCAGGGGUGGAAACCUGACAGGGGAACGUCUAUACCUGUGAUCCGAAGCUUAGGGGCUCCCUCCUCUCGCUGUGCAAAAAUCUGAAUCAUUAAUGGCCACUGAAAGCCAAAGCCGAUGCCGAAAUCAACGAUGUGUACCCUUGGUUUCCCUUGUGAGACAUCAAGAAUAGCUUGGUUGGCAAAAUAGUAUGACGCCCUUCCGAAAGGGAAAGCUGCAAGAAAAAGGCUAUAAGCCUCUAACCAAUCUGCGGUACUUGUUUGCCUUUCCACGAGGUUGCGGUAAACCUGACUCCCGGUCCCAGCCAAGCGUGCCUUGAGGCCAUCCGCCAAGUAAAAUGCCAGUCUCUGAGUACAAUCACCAUCUGCUGAAGAGUGUUGCCUUAUCUUCAAUAGCAGUUCACUGGCCAACAGGUAGCUGUGUUCUGCCACAGCUUGUGCGCAGUGGAUUAGGAGAGUCCUGAGAUCAACCAACUCUUUCCUCGGUUGCUUCCUACUUCUGCUCCGGCCUUUCAGAGAGGUCUUGUUUCCUUCCCCCGCCAUCCUUUCUCGCAGUCUUGUUAUUCGGUCAGAACGAUCAUAGCAUAGCAGAACUUGGUCAAAAUUUUCAUUUCGAAUUAUUGCACAAGUGGUGAUGGCAUGAUGUUCAUUGCUCCUUCUUUGAAAGAUAUCCCAACCCCUUGGGUCUGCCACCUCAAAGAUUGUGUUUUCGGUCCUCUCUCCUACUUUUGCCUUCGUAGUCAGUUGGGAAAUAUAAAGUAUGUUAUUCUUUGAAUAUAUCACCAGCUUAUCAAUACUUGGAGCAAACAUUCUUUCCUGCCUGACACCUCUCUGACCAUGCAAGGCAAGGAAGCCAGAUCCGGAAGUCCAUCCAACACUUAUCAACGGCUGGUUUGGUAAAAAAGGACUCCUAUUGCAUAUAUAUGGACUCAACGGGGUUGCUAAAGGUUGCAACAUGUUGUAACUGGAAUAGUCAUUACUGAAGCUAGUGCUCCAGACCCUCUUGUAACGACUGGUCCCACUCUUAUCAGGGUUGUCUGGUUUGUUGUUGCUAUUCAAUGGCGGCCAGUUAGUAGGCGGUGUGCAUACCUCACCAAGAAUGUCACGGAAUGGCUUCUCAGCAGCCUGAAGAGCAGCCCCUUGGCAUAUGUCGACCUCGUCAACGUCUUCCAUCAGCAUCUGGCUUAUGUAGUGAAGAGCAUCGUUUGAUCUGAUCCGGUGGUGCUCAGGGCUACUCCCUGCAGCAAUCUGAAAUUUGUUUUGUCCAUGGCUGCUGUUGACACUUACUUGGUUGGCUGGGGAGAGAACUGUUGAGUGUGGACAACUCAGGUCGUAGUUGUACACGGUGAGUUGCUGCUGGGAAGAGGAAUCACCAUAUGGUUGGUUGGUUGCUGCGAGGGUGUCCAGAUUAUCACGGAGAGGUUCAAUUGCCAUUGUGGAAAGUCUGAUUUCCACCUCAAUACGAGAUAUAUGGUUCUUGUUUGUCCCACAGCAAAUGAACCGGCUUGUUUCCUGGAAGGAGAAAAAGGGAAAUGCAAGCUAAAUUAUUUAUUAGAGAUUCAGCUUAUGAUUGUUUUGGCAUGUCAUACUGGUUGAAAAAUAAAAUCCGAAGGCUUGCAGACACGAGAACAGCUAUUUUAGCCGGUUAAACAUAGAAUGUUUAAGCAUCAAUAACAGAAACAGCGUGAAAGCGAUUUUGAAUCUACGACGCGCCUAAUACCACUGUUCCUUUUUAUUUGCAGGAGGCUCCUCAUCUGAUCUGAGCAAGUAGCAAAAGUAGGGAAGCACACACCUUGGAUAUUAAGCAGCAGCAGUGGAUCCAAUGCUUUGAGAGAAGAGUAGCGAGGAUAAGUAGUGAGGUUGUAGUGUUGAUUUGAACUAAAUUUGUCGUUCCUGUACCUUCUGGCUUUGUUUCCAACGUCAUAAGAUUGUGACAGAGAAUGGUCCAGAUUACUAUGGCUUUGUUCCCAACGUUGAUUAGUUCUAGGCCCGGCCGAGCAUCAGACCUAUAAAAAAGGGUUUAUUAGGAGCGCUGGACUGGUUUUCAAUCAUUAUUAAGGUUCCUAAUUGAACUGUUAAAAAAUCCGAGGUAAUCGAAAAAAGGAGAUGCACUAUUCAAAGAAUGUUCUUCUUUCUUUUCCACUUGAUAAUUGAUAUAUAUAUAAUGGUAUUGGUUGAAUCUUUUUUAGGAUAAUUUGUUGUACUUUAUCUCAUUAAAACAAUCAGUUUUUUUGUGAUUAUCUUAAUUCAAAAUUAAAUUGUUGGUGCCUAGCUAGUCUGAUGAGAUUUGAUGUUCUGCCGUAUCUGAAUUAUUUGUACCAAAUGUUUAACUAGUGUAACUGCCUUUGAAUUUUAUUUACAACAUCGGCAGCAAUGUUAGUUAUCAGGUCAUGAAAAUGCAUAUCCAAAUUACUUGUCGCUGCUUCAGUACAAUUUAGUAUAAAAUUGUAGAAAAACAGUGACAAGUAAUAUGGAUCGGAGGGAGUACUAGAAGAAUAGGUCAAAGAAAACUAGAAGAAACUAAAACAAAAUCUUUUUAAAAAUUCCGAUGUAAUUGAAAAAAGGGCACUAUGCAAAAUAACUUGUAAUUUUAUUUUCAUUCGAUAGUGUGUAAUGGUUGAAUUUUUGGAGGGUAGUUUGUCGUACCAAGUUUGUGCUUGGUUUUCGCCUAGGCCGUGGCGAUGCGACCUUGUAUUAAUGUCUGUCACCAACAAUUGUAAGUUGUUCACCUAAUAUACGGAAUUCACAUCUUGUUUAUCUGAUUCCAUUUUGGGAGCAUUCGCACGGACACAAAAGGAGAUUUCAUUUUAUUAAGAUAUUAGGCAGUGUUUGGUUAAGCUCAAUCUAGAUUAGCAUUACCACAAUAUCACUAACAUGGCAAAUCGCAGGCUAGGAACAUCUAGCAUAUGGGCCAGAGGCACAUGUCAGCGAAAUAGAGAUUAAGAACAUACGAGUUCACUAGAAACUCUGGUGCAACGACAUCGUUAGACACAGUGGUGAAGAUUAGCUAGGUGGAUGCCCGCUCACAAGGAAGCAGACGAACUAUCAUCAUGGAUGUAGUCGAACUUGAGCAAGCAGUUACGCCGAAACGCCCCCAAAAAACCUUACCGCCCCUCACCAGGUGCAGGUUCUCGAGGGACUCGGUUUUGAACAGGCUGCUCCCCCAGAUGAUUGUGCAUGUGGUCGCCAGAAAGGGGUCUCCAGUAGGUCAACAUGUGUGUUCUGUCUACUACUAUGUGUAUUUUGUAUAGUCUCUCUACUUUGCAUUUCCUCUACACAGAGAGGACGCCUAGGAGAGUGAAGCGAUGCAACUAACAUAUGGUGGAAGAUCUCUUUGAAAUUAGAAAGCAUGUCCACAACAAGCUCGAGUAUUGACAUGUACACCUAGAGCUAGGUCGUGCACUGCCAUGCAAAAUUUGUGUUCUUCGAACAGGCAUAUAAUAUAGCUCAAGCUCGAACUCAAUUCACGUGACGUGGCCCACUCGCUUUUGCAUGAAGCGAGUGAGCGAAGACACGCGUUGUUACUCUUUUCUCUCUCUACAAGGGGUGGUUGAACAACCCAAGUCUUAUAUUGGUGCUACUCUUUCUCAACUAGCAGUCUGGUAAUCUUACCAUCCAAAUAUAUGUGGUCUAAUACAUUUUUUGAAAUUGUGGUUGACCACGGGGUAGAGCAAUAAUAUAUGAUGUGUAUGUUACAAAUAAGUAUACCAUAAAAUUUGUAUGUGAAAAGAGUUUAUAAUGAUAUAAUUCUUUACAACAUGCAUCUCAUAUAUUAUUAAUAAGUUUACCAAUGGUCAAAGACAACCAUGAACAAUUAGGCCUAAUACAUUUGAAUGUAGGGAGUACUAAACUUGCACAUUUGUUAUACAAUUUGAAUGGGUCUUUGAAAUUUCAGAAUUUUAUUGGGCCGAGGCACAAUAUUUAAUGCACCCAGGCCCAUAAAAUCUGGGAAAACGUUUAGAAUCAACCGGAUGAAAUCUUCCUCCCGUAAACCUCUCUCUCCGCGCAACACGUGUCCCUGCCCACCCCACCGCUUCCUUCCCCUCCACCUUAUCUUCUCCCCGAAGCCUGUCGUCCACCAGUUUCUUCCCCCUUCUUGUUGGCCACUUAGCAGAGAGACAAGCAAAGCCACCGCACUGGAGGAGGGGGACGAACCGUCGGCAGCGACUGCAUCGAAGCUCCAUCCUGGCCGCAUUGAAGCUCCGCCGUGGAUGCAUUGAAGCUCCGUCGUUGUCGUCGCGCGCUGCAUAGCAGCUUCCGCCGUCGCUGCGCGCUGCGUUUCCAGCUACCGCCAUGGCCGUCGUCGGAGCUGCAUCAUGGCGUCCUCGCGUUGCGUCCCUGCAUAGCAGUUCCUGUCGUCGUCGCCACGUGCUGCGUUUGCAGCUACCGCCAUGGCCGUCGCCGGAGCUGUAUCGUAGCGUCCCCGCGCUGCGUCGCUGCAUAGCAGCUCCUGUCGUCAUCGCCGCGUGCUGCAUAGCAGCUUCGACUGUCAUCGCCGCGCGCCGUGUUGCAGCUUCCGCCAUGGCCGUCGCGUGCUGCGUCGCAGCACCUGUCUUCGCCGGCGCUGCAUCACAGCCUCCGCCAUGGGCACCGCGUGCUGCGUCGCCACACCUGUCGCCGCCGGCACUGCAUCGCAAAAUCCGCCAUCGUCUCCGGCGCUGCAAAGCACAUCCCCCGCUCCGCUCGCAGCUUCCGCCAUCAUCACUGUGUGCGUCUUAACAUCCGCCAUGGCCGCCGCGCGCUGCGAUGCAACAUCCGUCGCCGGCCACCUGUGCUGCGAUGUAACAUCCGUCGUGGGCUGCCUUGUGCUGUGAUGCAGCCCUCACCGGCGUUUGCUGCCGUCGGCGACGUAGCAGCGAACUGCUGCGUGUGCUCGGGAGGAAGAAAGCAACGGACUGACGAACUCGGGGGAGGAAGGAAGCGAGGAAGCGUUGACCCAUCGAACGGCUUGGGCGAGAUAGAUCGGACGGCCACCUACCCGACGGAUUUCCUGAAGAAAUCAGCCGGAUGACGCCUAGCACCGGCCUAAAAUCUAACCCAUUUAAGGGACACAUAACAGUAGGGACAUCACUAUCUAAAAAAACAAAAAUCCCUAAAAAAUCUAAAAAACAAAAAAACAAACAGUAGGGACAUCUUUGUUCAUACUCUCUCCGUCCCAUAAUAUAGGCGCGCAUUGAUUUGUACGGAAGUCAAGUGUCACAGCUUUGACCAAGUCUAUAGAAAAAAUUACCUAUAUAUCUUUAAUAAUACCAAAUAUACACAAUAUCAAAAUAUAUUUCGUGAUCAAUCUAGUGGUGUUUAUUUAGUAUUCAACGUUUUUAUAAUUUUUCUGAAAUUUUGGUCAAAUUUAUAUCUUUUGACUUUAAAAAUAUCAAUGCGCUCUUUUUUUUACCACUACAUUCUAAAAUGGAGAGAGUAGGACGGAAGUGGGUGAUUCUUUUUCUUUCUGCGAGGGGAGGUCUGAUAAGGUGGGCCUAACCGGACAACAGCUUAGGGCCCAGGUCCAGUUAAAACACGACUCGGCACAUCAGGGAUGCGUAAACGCUUUACGAAGGCGGAAUUCGUCCCUCUCUCUACUCUUUUUCGUGACCUCUCCAUGGCCGCCAAGAGGAAGCCCGGCAGGUCGCCGGCGGCGGCGGCGAAUGCGACGGAAGACGACGCGUAGGGCCUCUUCUCCGGCCCCACACUCUGCGCCCGCCUCCAAGGUCCCUCCCCCCUCUCCCCCUCUGAUUCCCCAUGAUUUGGUAGUCCCCUCGGGCAACUAGGAGCUCACCCCCUAAUUUUGUCCACGUAUGUUUUGAGAAAAAUGUAUACAGAUGAUUUACAAAUUUCCAAUCUGAAUGAUCAAAAGACAGGGGUUAAAGUCGAAGUUUUAUAGAGGACAUGUUCAAACUCCACUUAUUUGUGCUAUGUGAAUAUUAGUGCAUUCUGUUGGAUUCCUGUUAUGUUGAAGUACAAUUGCCGUCUACAAAUCAGAAAUUACAAUCCUCCCAUCUUCCAUUCCGAAUAAGUUUACAGAAAAAUCCAGGAGCUCACCCCCUAAUGUCGUCCACGUCCUUUUUGAGAAAAAUCUGUAAAUAUGGUUUCCAAUCUGAAUGGUCAAAAUGGUAUUCGUAGUUUAAUAAGUAGAAGUUUGACAGAAGACAUGUCCAAAACAUCGCCCACCAAGUUGUGAUAUGGAGAGAGUAAUAACAUGUGAACAUUAGUGCAUCCUAUUGAAUUCGUGCAUACAAAACUUGUUUGGAUUAAGUACAAUCCAUUGAUCUUUCAUAUCGCCAGUUUUGAGAGAUAUUCAGCGCUAGGAUCGAUUUUACAGCAAAGUGUUUAUUCAUCAGAAGUAAAAAAAGAACAAUACAAACAAAGUGUUUCAGUCGCCUUUUUGUACACUAUACAAAACAAUGACCAGGUUCACAUAGUUAAUAUUUCUAUAGAAGAACACCAGAAUCACUUGAAAAACUGUACGAAUCUUACCGACCGUCGUAUGUUUCAUCAGGUUUCCAUUUAGAUAUUGCAUAAAUUACUCUCCCUUUCCAUCCUUGUAGCAGCCAACCGCGAUCUUCAACAGCAAAGAAUUCCUCAUGCCAAAACGUGUUCUUCAUGUAUACUAUUAUCCUUAAGAUAGCUGGAUCGACGGGAAGCUGCUGGAACCCGGCCUUGAGGCACCUUGCGUGCCACUGCCUGUAACUUUCUGGUCUCUCAGUUCUUUCUGCACCCUCACAUGCUAUCAUGUUAAGUGCAUCCUUCCCAAAUAUCAUCCUCUCAAUCAUCUUUCUUGCUUCAUUAUCCCGUGGAACUACGUUUGCAUCAAGCAUGUCAAACAUUGAAGAGUAAUGGAACAUAACCUCUUUGAAACGUUUUAUGAAGAAGGGAGAACUGCAUAACCCAUUUACGGUGCCUGAAAUAAAAACCUUUGGGUUCAUCAUCCUCAUCAUUUUGAGCACCUUGUCCCUUGCACUAUUUAUGGCUUCGGUUUCAUGACCGAGAUUCUUCAUCCGGAACAUGCAGUUGAUUAUCAGAACUUCAUCCUUGUCAAUGUUAAGAUCCUCAAUUUUAAUGUUCUCCCAUCUUGAAGCGGCAAUGCCCUGAUACUGAAAAGGUACCUUGAACAUGUUUGCAUAAUCAGCCAACCGCUUCCCUGUCUCCUCGAUCGUUUCGCAGGGGCGGAAACCUGGCUGGGGAACAUCUAUACCUGUGAUUCGAAGCUUAGGGGCUCCCUCUUCUUGCUGUGCAAACUUCUGAAUCAUUAAUGGCCACUGAAAGCCGAAGCCGAUGCCAAAAUCAACGAUGUGCACCCUUGGUUUCCCUUGUGAGACAUCAAGAAUAGCUUGGCUGGCAAAGUAGUAUGACGUCCUGUCAAAAGGGCAGGAUGCAACAAAAAGGCUGUGAGCAUCUAACCAAUCUGUUGUACUUGUUCUCCUCUCCAUUAGGUUGCCAUAAACCUGACCCCCGGUCCCAGCCAAGCGUGCCUCGAGGCCAUCCGCCAAGUAAAAUGCCAGUCUCUGAGAACAAUCACCAUCUGCUGAGGAAUGUUGUCUUAUCUUCUUUAGGAGUUUACUGGCCAACAGAUGGUUGUCUUCCGCCACAGCUUGUGCACAAUUGAUGAGGAGAGUUUUGAGAUCAACCAACUCUCUCAUAGGUUGCUUCCUCUGCCAUAGCUUCUGACGUCCUUUGCUCCGGCCUUUCAGUGAGUUCUUGUUUCCUUCCUCUGCUAACCCUCUUCGCAGUCUUGUUGUUUUUUUGAAACUCUCCAGACCAUAGCAUAGCAGAGCUUGGUCGAAAUUUUCAUUUCGAAUUAUUGCACAAGUGGUGAAGGCAAUAUGUUUAUUGCUCCUUCCCUCCAAGAUAUCCCAGUCCCUUGGGGCUGCCACCUCAAAGAUUGUGUUUUCGCUCCUCUCUCCUACUUUUGCCUUUGUAGACAGUUUGGAAAUGGAAAGUAUGCCAUUUUCUAAAUAUAUCAGCAGCUUAUCAAUACUUGGAGCAACAGCCAUCUUUGCCUCCUCGACACCUCUCUGAUGAUGCAAGGCGGGGAAACCAGAUCUAGAAGUCGGUCCAACACUUAUGAACGGACGGUUUUGUAGAGAAAGACUCCUACUGCAGAUAUAUGGAUUCGAUGGGGUUGUUAAGGGCUGUAACAAGCUGUAACUGGAACAGUCAUUACUGAAGCUAGUGCUCCAGAGCCUCUUGUAACGGCUGGUCCUACCCUUAUCAGGGCUGUCUGGUUCGUUGUUCCUAUUCAACAGCGGAGGGUUAGUAGCCAAUGGGGGUACCUGCCCAAGAAGGUCACGGAAUGGUUUCUCAGCAGCCUGGAGAGCGGCGUCCCCUUGGCAUAUUUCAAACCUCUCGUCGACGUCUUCCAUCAGCAUCUGGCUGAUAUAGUGAAGAGCGUCGUUUGAUCUGAUCCGGCGGUGCUCAGGGCUACCCCCUGCGGCCGUCUGUAGGCUGCUGUUGACAUUGCACAACCCAGGGCUGGUGACUGCAACAUGCAGAUAUGUGCUUGCUCUAGUGGUUGUUGGCUGGGCCAACAGUGGACCACUCAGGUCGUAGCUGUCCACGGUGAGUUGCUGCUGGGAAGAGGAAGCGCCGUCGUAUGGUUGGUGGGUUGCUGCGGUGGGGUCCAGAUCGCCAAGGAGAGCUCCAACCGCCAUUCUGGAAAAUCUCUUUCUAUUUCCACUUCAAAUGGAGGAUUCUCCUGGCAAGCAGAACUGGACAAGAGGCAUGUGAUUCUUCUGUGUACCAUAGCAAAUGAAUCAGCAGCUUGUUGCCUGCAAAACAAAAGAGUAGGAAGUUGAAGCUUAUUUAUGUGAGACAAUUUUGUACUGUAUUCCCUCCGUAAAGAAAUAUAAGAGCGUCUAAACGCUAUUAUAUUUCUUUACGGAGGGAGACGCUCUUAUAUUUCUUUACGGAGGGAGUACUUCACAUUGAUCAUCUGCUACAAUCUGGAAUGAUAAAAAGGAAUUCUGCCGGGCGAGCACUUAUCCAUGCUGAGGAAAAUUGAAUUUCCGAAGGCUUGCGGAAACGAGCAUUACUAUUUUACCUGGUUAAACCUCAAAUGUUUAGCAUUGAUAACAGAAAAAGGACUCACCUCUGGUCCUUGUUAAGGCAACCUUGAAAUUACGACGCGCCUAAUAGCAUUGUUCCUUUUUUUGUGCAGGUGGCUCCUCAUCUGAUCUGAGCAGGGAAGCAUACACCUUGGUUGUUAUAUUAAGUAGCAGCACGAUCAAAUGAGAAGCUUUGAGAAGGAGGGAGAGGAGGGGUGUCUGUAGACUGUGGUGUUGAUGUAAACUUGGUAAGUCUUUUGUUCCCAACUACAGCCAUGGUGAUUGUGACAGAGGAUGGUCCAGAUUGCAACAGUUAUCCUCUCGAUUAAUCCUAGGCCUGGCUACACGCCGGACAUGUAAAAAAACAACUGUCAUAUCGGACCAUCGUUCUAAUUUUAGGGAUAAAAACAGAGCGCUUCCUAACGUGACCGACGUGGUCGAACGAACAAGCGAGGGAAACUAUUAUUUCCUGCUAGUCUGCAUGCGUACGUCUCCAAAUGUGCAUACAUGCAAACUCUUUCUAAUCCCAAGAUCAGCAGCAAGGCACAGCUCCUUCUUCUCCCCUAGUAUAUACUAGAUUAAUUUUGCUUGAUUGAAUACAUAGACUUCAAUUUGAUUCUUUCUCUAUUCUGGAUUUUUGAUUCAUAUGUAAAUUUCAUUUUGCUUGUUUCAAUGCAUAGCCUUGCAUUUUUAUUUUACUUUUCCUAUUAUACUCCCUCCGUUCCUAAAUAUAAGUCUUUUUUAUAGAUUCCAAUAUGGACUACAUACGGAGCACAAUGAAUGGAUCUACACUCUAAAAUAAGUCUAUAUACAUCCGUAUGUAGUUUGUAUUGAAAUCCCUAAAAAGACUUACGUUUAGAAACGGAGCGAGUAGAUUUUUGUUUGCUUCAUCUAAAUCGGAAUUUAAUUUUGCUUGAUUGAAUAUGUACCAUUGCAUUUCAACCCUCAUUCGGGACGACUAAACAAAAAUGGCUUGCAUUUUGCCCCCCUUCAUCUAUUUCCGUGCCCGUGGGUUUGUUAGGGUUGCCGACAUGAACACUGCAGAAAGUUCGUCGGGUUAUCCAGGUGGGCAUGGGGUUAGGCAUCCACGAGGAUUUCCACAUGGAUGGGCAUGUCGUCCAUCAAUAGUUGAUUCUGCUCCUCAAUCAAACUUAAUGUUGCCACCAAGAACUGUCGUAGGCAUGUUGUGUUCCAUCAAAUACGGCGUUUUCUUCCGUACAAUAUGUCUUGACAUCCAUUUCAUAAUCUGCUUCUUCGCAUCGAUGAAGCAACUUCCUAUAAAGAGGAACAUCUAGCAGACCAACAUGGAAAUGAAGAAUCGUCAACAUCGAUGUCACACACACAGUCUGGUAUUUGCCCUUAACCGUAACCUUUUUCCUUGAUUAAUCCAUGUUCAUGUUUCCGAGCUUACGAAUCAUUUAUGUUUACACCACUCUCUUUCUACCUCAUCAUUCAGCCCCCCCCCCCCUCCCCCGGCGGUGUUAUUGCAAACAUUGUGGCACUCUUUUGUUUUUAUUAAAACGUUGUGGUACUCACUUUUGGUGGUAUGAUGAAGAGUUUUGAUCAGUUGGCCCAACAUGACACAGCCAGGGCCCAGGGCCCAGUUAAUACACGACUCAGCACCUGAGCAGGUGCGUAAAUGCUCUCCGAAGGCAGAAACCGCCUCCUCUCCCCUCGUCUUCGGUUCUCCCUCCUCUCCUGCACGACCUGUCUCUCCAUGGCCACCAAGAGGAAGCUCGGCAGGUCGCCAGCGGCGAAUGCGAAGGCGUAAGCCAAGGAAGACGAGGAGGAGGGGUACUUCUCCUCGCGCUCCUUCGCCUACCUCCAAGGUCCCUCCCUCCCAUGUCUCCUAUUCCCCAUGUCUCUGUGGCCCUAGUGAUUUAGCUGUCCCCUCAGGGAGCUAGGAGCUGACCCCCUAAUGUCGUCCACAUAUUUUUUGUCAAAAAAAAUCUAUGCAUAUGAUUUUCAAAUUUCCAAUCUGAAUGAUGAAUGAUCAAAAUGAUAUGGAGGCACGUGCAGAACGUCACCCGCCUAGUUGUGAUAUGGAGAGUAAUAAAACUCCCUCCAUUUCUGUACAUAAGACCACUUCAUAUUUUUAUGUCUAACUUUGACCAUUAAUUUUAUCAACCAAAUGUGGGUUACGUGCCACGAAAAGUAUGUCAUUGGAUGCACAUUUCAAAGAACUUCUCAAUGAUUUUUUUAUGACAUAUAACCCAUAUUUUGUUGACCAAAAUUACAAGUCAAAGUUUGACACCAAAAGCGAAGUAGCCUUAUAUACAAAAAUGGAGGGAGUAUGUGAACAUUAGUGCAUUCUAUUGGAUUCCUGUUUAGAUUAAGUCCAUUUGCCGUCUUCAGAUAAGAAAAGACAGUCCUCUCAUCUUCCAUAUCACAAGUUUUGAGAGGUAGGCAGUGCAAUAACCUGCUUCACAGAAAAUCCAAUGUUUAGGUAUGGCAUUCCACUAAUCUCAAGUCUUGAGGCCCAAUACAGUUUAUUCAUCAGAAAUUAAAUAGAACGGCAGAAGCAAAGUAUUUUACUGUAGCCUUUUCACUAGUAGAAAAAGGGGCUUUUGUUCGGGCCUGGCCAGCCCAUUAGUCCCAGUUCUUAUAUGAACCGGGACCAACGGGUGCAUUCGUCCCGGUUCGUGAGCCCAGGUGGCCGGCCGGGACCUCGCGGGCUUUGGUCCCGGUUCGUCUGGACCCAUUUGUCCCGGUUCUAGGAACGAACUGGGACCAAUGGGCCUCGCUCCUGGCCCAUAACCAUUGGUCCCGGUUCCAGCCACGAACCGGGACAAAUGAUUUGCCUAUAUAUAGCCCAUCGCCAGCGAGCAGAGCACUCGACCCUGCUCUGUUUUUUGCUGGCCGGCGAGGGGAGGGCAUUUGGGUGCUCUAGCUCACCUCCUAUGCACAUGAGGUGUUCGAUUAAAUGUCCGAGCCACACUAGUUAAUAUUUUUUCUCUCGAAACUCGACCUCCGAGCUCCAUUUUCCCCGGGAUUUUUCUAGGUUUAGCGGUCCGUCACGUCUCGUCUCCGUCUUCACCGCUGUCGAUCGCCCGCGUCGAUCUUGUCGCCGGCACUACCGUGGUGAGCCUCUUGUUCUUAUCUUCUUUCUGAAAGAAAAAAAAUUCUUACUUGAGAUAGAUACUUGUCUAAUUUUCUUACUUUUAUUAUUCCUUGUUAUUAUAUAGUGCGAUGGUUCUGCUAUCCGCCCCCAUCGGCCCUCGUCCUGUAUAUGAUUCAGAUGUGGUAUAUAUUAUCUUUUUAUAACUAUUUGGUUCAUUUAUUGUUUAUCACAAUUAUGCCGACCAACGUGACAUAAAUUUUAUUUAUGUAGGAGGUGGUUGAACCGGAAAUUCCAACCGACCCUAUUGUCGAGAGGCUAAAUUUAGUCGAAGAAGAAACCAAUUACUUGAAGGAAAAAAUAAAAAAAUUGAGGAGGAGAAGAUGAUAUUGGAGUUGCAUGUUGCGGAUGUCGUCGAUGAUCACAAGAUCAAGAUGGAUGCAAUGCGUUGAAGAUUAGAAAGAUUAGAAAAUAUGCCAUUCAUACCGAGGCUUGGUAUCAUUAUGCCGUUGGAUCAAUUGUUACCUUAGUUGUGAUUAUGAUCACAUUUGUUGUUGCAUUGAAAGGUUUUACAUAGUUUCAAUGUAUGGUUUAACUAGAUGCUCUGGAGAGCUAUAUGUUGUUCAAUUUGAACUAUGUAUGUACUUCGAAACCCUGAUACUUCGAAAGAGAUUGUCCGUUUUGUACACGAAGUGCAUCCAGUUUUUGCCGUAAGCCUCUCUACUUUCGUGCACAUGCUAUGUGGGUGAAAUGAUGAUACCAUGCCAACUUUUAACCUUUUCAGAGUUCAUUUGAAAUGCUUUUCAAUUUCAGGGUAUUAUAGCUGAAAAAAUCAGUAAAUGCAUGAAAAAUAACAAAUGAAGUCAGAAAGGGUUGAAAAUUGAUGAUGUGGCUUUGAAUGGUGCAUUUUGAGCAUAUAAAAACUAUGGAGUUCAAAUAAGUUCAAAAAAUGAAAUCCUUUUGUAACAGAUGAGUUUCCGUAUGAAACCCUGAUACUUCGAAAGAGAUUGUCCGUUUUGUACACGAAGUGCAUCCAGUUUUUUCCGUAAGCCUCUCUACUUUCUUGCACAUGCUAUGUGGGUGAAAUGAUGAUACCAUGCCAACUUUUAACCUUUUCAGAGUUCAUUUGAAAUGCUUUUCAAUUUCAGGGUCUUAUAGCUGAAAAAAUCAGUAAAUGCAUGAAAAAUAACAAAUGAAGUCAGAAAGGGUUGAAAAUUGAUGAUGUGGCUUUGAAUGGUGCAUUUUGAACAUAGAAAAACUAUGGAGUUCAAAUAAGUUCAAAAAACAAGAAAUCCUUUUGUAACAGACGAGUUUCCGUAUGAAACCCUGAUUCUUCGAAAGAGAAACAAAAUAAAAUAAUCAGUAAAUGCAUGAAAAUUUAAUAGCAAAAAGAAUUAUCAUAAAAUAAAAUAAAUAAGUAAUUUGAAAAAUAAUAAUAUAAACUUUAAUAAAAUAUAUAAGUAAAAACAAAAUAAAAUAAAAUAAAAUAAACUUUAAUAACAUAAAUAAAAUUUAUGAAACUAGAAUUAUCAAAGUAUUUUCUGUUCAAAACAUUAUAAGCAACCUCUAAAAUUUAUGAAACUAAAAUUAUAUAAAAUUGAUGCAACUAAAAUUAUCAAAGUAUUUUCUGUUCAAAAUCAUUAAAAGCAAAAAGAAUUUCCAUAAAGAACCUUGUUUGUUAGAAACUUUAAUAGCAAAUAUAUAAGUAGAAACAAAACAAAAUAAAAUAAAUAAGUAUUUUGUUGUAAGUAGAAACAAAACAAAAAAAAGCAAAAAAGAAAACAAAAAAACUGGGAAAAAAUAAAAAAAUUGCCACCUACUGGGCCACCACGGCCUGAAUACGACUAGAAACCCAUCAAUGGGCCAGGAUUCAGGCCCGCAGAAGGUCCAGUAGGCCCAUCUGGCAUAGCAGUGACAAGUAGGUCCGUAAGCCUGCAAUAGAGAGGAGCUCGAGAGGGGUGCGGCAGUGGGGCUUAUAAACCACUGCGCGCCCCUCUCAACUAGCGAGGUGGGACUAAACUCCCACCACCACGCCGCCGUGCGAGGCCUUUAGUCCCGGUUGGUGGCACCAACCGAGACUAAAGGUGGGCUUUGGUACCGGUUCGUGCCACCAACCGGUACCAAUGCCCCUUUAGUACCGGUUGGUGCCACCAACCGGGACCAAAGGCCGCCGCUUCCCGCCCUUUGGGCUGCUGAAAAGAGACCUUUGGUCCCGGUUGGUGGCACCAACAGGGACUAAAGGGGGCAUUAGUCCCAGUUUACGCCACCAACCGGGACUAACGCUUGGACUAUAUAACAAACACUUGUGAAAAUUUUCAGUUUUCAUCGCCAGUUGCCUCCCCCCUCCCUCGCCGACGACGCCGUCAGGCUGCUCCACCUCGCCGUCUACGCCGCCGCCGCCAAUGCCGUCGCCUCCCCGAGCCCGCGCCGUCCUCGUCGCCGGCAUCCCCGAGCCCGCCGUCCUCGUCGUCCCCGUCGCCGCGUGCCUCCCCGAGCCCACCCCUCCUCGUCCCUGUCGCCGCGUGCCGUCCCGAGACCGCCGUCCGCGUCACCGCGUGCCGCCCCGAGCCCGCCGUCCUCGUCGCCGGACUCCUGCCAUCGCCGGCCCCCUCGAAGUGAGCUCCCCCCCUUUCCCAUGGUCCCGAUCGAGCGCCGCUCUUGCGCCCGAGCGCCCCUUGCUCUCUGCCCCUGCUCCAUGGUCGCCGCCGGCCCCGACGCAUUGAAGAGCAGAAGGAGAGGAGAAGGAGAGGAGAGGAGAAGGAGUGGAGCAGUAGCAACACGCCGUCCAAUUUUCUGAAAUUUCUGAAUUUUUUUACAGAUAUGAACAGUGCAUAUAGAGGGUGUUUGAUAAAAUGCUAGAUGGCUUUGGGCAUUUUUAGAAUUUAUGAUAUUUUUUGUGGUGAGGUACUGAUGCAAGACAAAGGUGAUGACAAAAUUUCAGAAUUUUUGGAUUGGUUUAGGAUAGGUUUUCAGCAAGGAAUUUGAAUCUGAUUCAAAUUUCAUUUGAAUGAAAUUUGAAAAUUUUGAACUAUGGAUCAGAAGGUUUUUGGUGAAAUGGAGUGUGGGUACUGUCAUGAAGUUGGAGUAAUUUUUGUGGUUGUAAAAGAGUUAGGAAAAUUUAGAAUGUGCUAAAUAUGUCAAAAAUGUUUUUUUGUUCAUAGAAAGUUUUUUGUUCAUAUACAGAAAGUUUUUAUAUAUAACUAUGGAUAUAUGAGCAAUGAUGAUCCUUGGAUGUAUGCAUUGAUAUAUAUGAGAAACGAUAUUCAUAGAAUAUUUACCAAGUAUAUAUGUAUUUUUGUUCAUAGCAUUUUUUUUUCAUUUAUAUAUGUAUGUGGCUAUCGAUGGAUAUAUAUGAGAAAUGAUGAUCCAUGAAAAAGUUUUAUAUAUGCAAAAGUUACCAAAACUCUCGAGGACACCCAAACCCUAGAAAAAAACGAUGUCGGUCUCCUACCCCCUCCCGCCGCGCCCCUACCCGAUCGACAUACUCUCUUGAGGCCACUCAAAUUUACCAAGUUAAAAUAGCGUUGUCGUCGAGGCCACCCCGAACCCCUUGAAGCGUUGUUGAGGCUACCCCUUGAAGCGUUGCCGAGGCCACCCCAAACCCUAGAGAAGAGUCGAGGCCAUGCCACUAAUAUGAUUCCUUAUUGUGCUUAGCUAGCUAGUUCAACAUUUGCCACUAAUAUAUCCAUAUGUCAUGUUUGAAUAAUAAUUGCCAUGUUGUAAAUAUUUGCAGAAACUAUGGAUUCGCACCCCCGAGACGAAUCAAAAGAACCGGUGUUGGGGGAGAUAAUCGCACACGGAAGUGAUGCCGUCUUGUCGUUUCUCAACGACACAUGCACCGAUGGUCUGAAAAGACAGGAUGAAGAAGCAGGCUACGACGAUGAUCAAACAAUGGAGGAGGAAGGACACCGUGAUGACGGCUCCGGUGACCGAAUGGAGGGGGGAGGACAGGAUGAAGAAGUAGGCUCCGGUGACCGAACGGAGUCCGGCCAGGUAUAUAUAUUAAUUAAUUAAGCAUGUGCUAACUAUAGCUAAUUGAUGCAUUAAUUGUUUUUGGUAUGUACACAUAUUAACUCUCUUCUUUUUCUUCUUUUCUAGCCCUCCGGAUCGAGCAACACUUUGGUAACGAGACGAGGCCCGAAGAGAAAGUUGCACGCGGAUGAAAGGUACACGAUCAUCGAAAUUGAUCGCGCUGGCCAACCGAUUGAACCCCUCCGGACCAAGCAAGAAUUUAAUGCUCAGUGCGGGGUUCUAGUGAGGGACAUGAUCCCGAUCAACAUCGAGCAAUGGUUGAAGCCUAAGGACAAAGACUCUUAGGUGUCUUAUGUCAGCGAUAGGCAGAAAGCUGAUCUUUGGACCGCGCUGCAGGAAAAUUUCACCUUCCCGCCAGAGGAGGAUCCGGAGAAUCCAGUUAAAAAGCCAAUGAUCAAGGCUUAUGCUCUUAAGAAGAUGGCUGAGCUAUUCAGGAGGUGGAAGAAUGAGCUGAAAUCAUCGUUUGUCGACCAAGACAAGACUCCAGAAUUCAUCGGCCGAUUUGAGAAGAUCAAAGAUCAGUGGCCCGAAUUUGUCACCAAAAAGAAAUCUGAGAGAGCAGCGGAGAUGUCAGCGACAAACAAGAAAAAUGUUGCAAAGAAGAAGCAUCACCAUCGCACGGGGUCAGGUGGCUACCUGAAAGCCCGGCCGUUGUGGGACAAGGCUGAGAAUGACCUCAUUAACAAAGGGAUCGAACCAGAGACGCGACACUGGCCAGACCGUUGCAGGACUUGGUUCUUCGGGGUUGGGGGAAAAUUGGACCCUGUAACAGGGAAGUGCGUUUGGACCGACGAGCAGCUGAACACACCCAUCGAGAAGCUUCAGGAGUAUAUCGAAAAGGCGCAGCAAGGGACGUUCGUUCCGGACAGAGAGAACGACAAGCUCACAGAGGCCCUCGGGAAUCCUGAGCACUCCGGACGGACACGAGGCACGCCAGGCUCCCUUUCGUGGAAGGCUGGAUUUCCCAACGCAGGCGGUUACAAACGCCGGGAGAGGAAGAAGAAAAAGGAGUUGACCCAACUACAGGCGCUGCACGCAAGGGUACAAGCGCUAGAGGAACGAGAGGCAGUUCGCAGCACGCGACCUGCCGAACCUACACCCGAAGUUACCCCGCCAUCUCAGCGGAGAAGCAGCGUGGCUUCCACGGAGCUGCUUCAGGAGCCUGUCUUCACGGCUCAUGCUAGCUACCCCGUAGAUCCUAUCACGGAGUCUCAGCAUUGCCACCUUAUGACGCAGUGGAUGGAAUUGAAAGUCAAGGCGGCCGUUGGCUCUAUUGCACCUCCUGAACCUGGCGCAACUUUUCACUGCCGGCCGAUUCCAGAAGGAUAUGCUAGGGUGAUGGUGGAUGAAAUCACAGAAGGAUUUGAGGACCUCCAGCUUGACCACCCUACGGGUGAGGGGAGACUCGCCUGGGUUCUUGUCUGAAGACUCCAUGCCUAUGGCGGAAGGAGCUCAUCAACCUUCCGAACUGGAUGCCUCCGCCUCCUCCUCCUCCUCCGGCAAGUCAGGGCACUCCGCCUCCUCCACCGCCUCCUCCUCCGGCGAGUGACGAUCAGGGCACUCAGCCUCCUUCUCCGGCGCGUGGCGGCACUUGGCCUCCUUCUCUGCCUGCGCCGGCGCGCCCGAGCAGCCACCAGCCUCCUCCUUCUCCGCCUCGCCAGCAAGGGCGGAAGAGACCCGCCGCCGCCCCGGCUGCUCCGGCGCGUCGUAGUCCUUCUCCUCCGCCUCGUAAGCAAGCAUGAAAGAAGACAGCCGCAGCCGCUCCGUCUGCUCCGGCGUCUAGCAGUACGACCAGAGGUGGGAGGCAAUACAGAUACGGUCCACCUCUCAAGCCUCUAGAGAAGUUACCGUACGAGAUGACCGUGGAAGAAAACAAGAAGAUCGUGCAGAAAGAAAUGAAGGACUUCUUUGAAGGGGCGAAAGCAGAGAGACAUCCACCUCCGGAGGAGAAGGUAGAUGCGGUGAAAGCAAAGCACACUAUCGAUGCCCUGAGGAAACCACCAAAGUCUCUGCCGAAAACCAACUAUGAGCGUGUUACUGAAAAGACAUAUAUCGAAGCGGAGCGGUCGGGAAGUACUGUCAGUGAUCAAAGGUUAAAAGAACGACGAGCAGCUGGGAAAAAAUUGCCCAGUUCGGCGAACAAGCGAACCAAUCGUGCCGCCCGCUCAAUGUGUCUAGCGACAUCGUCGCUAAUGCUCCGGGGAUGGUGCCCGGUUAUAGAAAUCUUGGAGAUUACCUGCCUGACGAUGUACAUUAUGAUUUCUUGGAGGUGGACGAACACAGAUACGAGUACGGGAAGCCUCUCGUCAAAGAUGAAAAAUCUCUAACAACGAUGAUGCGAAGAUUCCAUAAUUGGUACAUGAAAACCUGCAGAGAGUCUGGGGGGACGAAUACUUUGUAUCUGAGAAUUAAAAAGGAGCACGACCUCGUUGGAACUGAUCUGUUGCAUGUUCCAUUUGAGGAGUUCUUCCAGUUCUUCAAUCAAAAGGCCCUCGAUAAAUUAACGGUCACUUGCUACUGUCUGUAAGUACUACUUCGGUCAUUAAGUCUCUAUAUAUAGCUCAGCUCUUUCAUUGCAUGUAUUUAUAAUUAUCCUCACUAUAUUAUGCAGAUUGAAGAUCGUCGAGUGCAGAAAAGCAGAAAUGUAUGAUAUUAGGUUCAUUAAUACAAAUCUCAUAGAUGAAUUUCAGGUUAAAAAGAACGCCGAAGAGGCCGAGGCCAACUUGCUCAAAUCAUUAUUAAUAAAUCAAAACAAAGAUUUAAUACUCUUUCCUUACAACUUCAAGUGAGUGUUACUGUCGUGUGCAUAUUCGGUUUCCCUUAUUACUCGAGCGAGGUUAUAGUAAUGUAAUUGAUGAGUUAUGCAUGCGUGCGCAGCUUCCACUAUAUUCUCUUGGAGAUUAAGCUUGAGCGGGGACUAGUAACCAUCUUAGACUCGAGACGAAAAGAUCCCGAGACCUAUGCAGACAUGACUAAAAUUCUCAACAAGUAAGUUCAAUCGAUCAUUAUCGCACCAUAUCGGCAACUUUUUGUUCAUUUCCUGAUAUCUCAAGUAAUAAUUAUUUUCUUUGUCUUGCAGGGUUUGGAAACAGUUCACCGCAGAAGUUCCGGGACUGCCGAAGGAGCUGCGAUAUACAUACCCGAAAGUAAGUACUACUAGCUAGCUAGUUGCGCGCAUCUCCCGUUGAUUCUUGCUACUUUCAUCAAUGCCAUUUAUAAUGCUUCAUUAUCAGUUUGAUUGACCUCUAUUUCUCGAAAAGUGCUUGUGGCAGGAAUAAGGGAAUGAUUACUAUGGAUACUACGUGUGCGAGUUCAUCUACAACGCGACUUUGAAAAAUAAGCGGGGCUACUCUAAAAGACAAUAUGAAGUGCGUAAGCAAUAAUAUUCACAAUUUCAUUUUAUUACACCAUCAUUUCUAUUGAGUUUCAUUCAUAUAUAUGUAUUAACCCCCUUCUUCAAAUUAGACGUGGCAGAUGCGGAAUGAACUCCUACCACAAGAUCGCAUGAAAGCAAUUCAAGAGGAAUUGGCGGGAUUCUUUCUUGACCAUGUCAUCAAUAAAGCCGGAGAAUACCAUGUGGAAGUUGAGUUCAAAUGCUAGGGGAUUGUAAGAGAUCUUAAAUAUUGUAUAUGUAUGUAGCCAGUAGCGUCGGAUAGAUAAUACGAAAACUUGUUGUUCGACCAAUCUCUCGGAGAAGGAGAGGGUUGAUCACUUCUCUUGGUAUGCAUGACGAACUUCUGUACUUAAUGGUUUCCUUCAUUUUCUUACUAGCUAGCGUGUCGAGGGCCUCUCUAUGUAUAGUACGUAGCAUCGACCAAGCACGGAGAUAAGAGAGGACACUUCUCUCUAUUAAUUAAUUAGCUACCUAACACAAUAUAUGAACACCUUAAUUAACCAUACAAAACCGCCAAAUCCACCCCCCCCCCCUUUCAGAAAAAAAACAAAAACCUAGCCCCUGAACAGCUGACGCGUGGAUGCCUAUUGGUCCCGCUUGGUACCACCAACCGGGACUAAAGGGCCUCCUGCCUGGCCUCGCAGCACCGGCCACGUGGAGGCCCAUCUGUCCCGGUUAGUAUAAGAACCGGGACUAAAGGCCUAGGCAUUAGUAACGACCCUUUAGUCCCGGUUCCCCAACCGGGAUAGAUGGGCCUUAUGAACCGGGACUAAUGGCCCUUUUUCUACUAGUGUUUUGUUCACUAUACAAAACAAUGACCAGGUACACACAGUUCAUAUUCGUUUAAAAGAACACCCAGAUUCACUUGAAGAAUUGUUUGAAUCUUACUUAUCAUCAUAUGUUUCAUUAGGUUUCCAUUUAGAUAUAGCAUAAAUUAUUCUCCCUUUCCAUCCUUGUAGCAGCCAACCGUGAUCUUCAACAGCAAAGAAUUCCUCAUGAUAAAGUGAGUUUUUCAGUCGUACUAUUUUCUUUAAGAUGGCUGGAUCAACAGGAAGCUGCUGGAACCCAGCCUUGACGAACCUUGCUUGCCACUGCCUAUAACUUUCUCGCCUCACGGUCCUUUCUGCAUCCUCACAUGCUAUGCUGUUAAGUGCAUCCCGUCCAAACAUGAUCCUCUCAAUCGUCUUUCUUGCUUCAUUAUCUCGUGGAACAUUUGCAUCAAGCAUGUCAAACAUUGAAGAGUAAUGGAACAUAACCUCUUUGAAACAUUGCAUGAAGAAGGGUGAACUGCGGUACCCAUUCACGGUGCCAGAAUUCAAAAUCUUUGGGUUGAUCCUCCUCAUAGUUUUGAGCACCUCGUCCCUUGUGCUAUUUAUGGCUUUGGUUUCAUGACCAAAUUUCUUCAUCUGGAACAUGCAGUUGAUUAUGAGGACUUCACCCUCGUCAAUGUUAAGAUCCUCAAUUUUAAUGGUCUCCCAUCUUGAAGCGGCAAUGCCCUGAUACUGAAAAGGCACCUUGAACAUGUUUUCAUAAUCAGCCAACCGCUUCCCUGUCUCCUCGAUCAUUUCGCAGGGGCGGAAACCUGGCUGGCAAACGUCUAUACCUGUGAUCCGAAGCUUAGGGGCUCCUUCUUCUUGCUGUGCAAACCUCUGAAUCAUUAAUGGCCACUGAAAGCCGAAGCCGAAGCCGAUGCCGAAAUCAAUGAUGUGCACUCUUGGACGCCCUUGUGAGACAUCAAGAAUAGGUUGGUUGGCAAAGUGGUACGACGUCCUGUCGAAACGGCAAGAUGCAAUAAAAAGGUCGUAAGCCUCUAACCAGUCUGUGGUACUUGUUCGCCUUUCCAUGAGAUUUUGAUAAACCUGACCCCCGAUCUCCCAGCCAAGCGUGCCUCGAGGCCAUCCACCAAGUAAAAUGCCAGUCUCUGGGUACAAUUACCAUCUGGUGAGGAGUGUUGCCUUAUCUUCUUUAGGAUUUCACUGGCCAACAUGUGUGGUUGUCUUCUGCCACAGCUUUUGCGCAAUUGAUGAGGAGACUCCUGAGAUCAACCAACUCUCUCCUUGGUUGCUUCCUCUGCCAUAGCUUCAGACGUCCUUUGCUCCGGCCUUUAAGUGAGUUAUUGUUUCCUUCCCCCGCCAUCCUUUCUCGCAGUCUUGUUCUUCGGUCAAAACUCUUCCGACCAUAGCAUAGCAGAACUCGGUCGAAAUUUCAUUUCGAAUUAUAGCACAAGUUUUGGUGGCAUGAUGUUUAUUGCUCCUUCCUUGAAAGAUAUCCCAGCCCCUUUGGUCUGCCACCUCAAAGAUUGCAUUUUCGGUCCUCUCUACUACUUUUCCUUAGUAGUCAGUUGGGAAAUAUAAAGUACGUCAUUCUUUAAAUAUAUCACCAGCUUAUCAAUACUUGGAGCAAACAUCUUUUCGUCCUCGACACCUCUCUGACAAUGCAAGGCAGGGAAGCCAGAUUCGGAAGUCCAUCCAACACUUACCAAUGGAUGGUCUGGUAGAAAAAGACUCCUGUUGCAGGUAUAUGGACUCAACGGGGUUGCUAAGGGCUGUAACACAUUGUAACUCGAAUAGUCAUUACUGAAGCUAGUGGUCCUGAGCCUCUUGUAACAGCUGGUCCCACUCUUAUUAGAGUUGUCUGGUUUGUUGUUGCUAUGCAAUGGCGGCCAGUCAGUAGCCGGCGCGUAUACCUCCCCAAGAAUGUCACCGAAUGGCUUCUCAGCAGCCUGGAGAGCAGCCUCCCCUUGGCAUAUGUCGAGCCUCUCGUCGACGUCUUCCAUCAGCAUCUGGCUUAUGUGAUGAAGAGCAUCGUUUGAUCUGAUCCGGCGAUGCUCAGGGCUACACCCUGCGCCGAUCUGAAAUUGGUGUUGUCCAAGGUUGCUGCUGACACUGCACAACCCAUGGCUGCUGACUCCACCUAGCCGAUAUGUGCUUGCUUGGUUGGCUGGGGAAAGAACUGUGGAGUGUGGGACACUCGGGUCAUAAUUGUACAUGGUGAGUUCCUGCUGGGAAAAGGAAUCACCAUCGUAUGGUUGGUCUGUUGCUGCAAUGGUGUCCAGAUUGUCAUGGAGAGGUUCAAUCGCCAUUGUGGAAAGUCUGAUUUCCACCUCCCUCAGUAUGAGAUAUAUGGUUCUUCUCUGUCCCACAGCAAAUGAAUUAGCUUGUUUCCUGGAACAAGAAAAAAGGGAAAUGGAAGCUAAAUUAUGUGAGACCAAUUGUGCUACAAUCUAGAAUGUCCAUUAAAUGGAAUUCUGAUCAGCGAGCUCUUUUUUUUUUUCUUCAUUUCCUUCACCUUCUGCUUCUUCCUUUAUUAUUGGAGAUUCAGCUUAUGAUUGUUUUUGGCACGCCAUUACCGAAAAUCCGAAAGCUUGCAGACACGAGAAUAACUAUUUAAGCCGGUUAAGCAUAUUACUAAUGUUUAAGCAUCAGUAGCAGAAACAGCACACCUAAAGCGAUUUUGAAACUAUGACACGCCUAAUGCCACUGCUCAGGCUCCUCAUCUAGCAAGUAACAAAAGUAAGGAAGCACACACCUUGGUUAAUUAGCAGCAGCAUCAGAUCCAGUGCUUUGAGAGAAGAGUAGUGAGGAUGUGGGCUAUGAAAGAAGGGUAGUGAGGCUGUGGUGUUGAUAUAAACUAAUUUUUUUGUUGAUCUUCUUGUUGCUUUGUUCCCAACGUCAGACAUGGUGAUUAUGACAGAGAAUGAGUCCAGAUUACAGCAGUUAUCCUGUCGAUUAGUUCUAAGCCUGGCUGCGCAUCGGACGUAUAAAAAAUUGUUCAUUAGGAACGCUUGCAUGGGUUUCAACAUUUUUAAGGUUCCUAAUUGAAUUGUUAAAAAA